AAUGUGAUAUCUAAUCCACUGUUGCUUUUGUCCUCUUUGUAUUUCGCUUUAUAGUCGCAACUAGUAAACCCGGUGGUAGACCCACACGUGGGUUAGACCGAACUGUGGCCUGGUCUAGUCCAGAAAAAAUCAUUUAUACCCCUUACUUUUUUAAUUAAUUUAGUAAAAUUAAAUCAUCCUAAAAUGUUGGCAUAUGCAUCUAAAUACUUUUCCAAGGAUGUUUUAAUAAAGUGUCAUUCAGGUAAAAUGUCUAAAUUGGAUGCAAUUGCAAUUGGCAACGAAUUUGCCAAAUUUAAGAAGAAAGAUGGGGUCCUCUAAAGCAGGAUUUGGGAGAUCUAAGGUAGGGGUUAGAGUAGAAGACCUAAUUUAGUGUCAGCCCAUUUUAAAAAUAAAAUCUUGGGUGUGUUUUACACAAUCUUGCACUUCAUUAUCAUCUAUGAAAGUAUGCCUUUAUAUAAAUAAGAGAAAAAAAACCUUAACUUUCAAAUCACAUAAAAAAAAAUAAAUAAAUACUUAAGUACUGCUCAACCACAAUACUUAAUUGAACCUAAAUUUUGCAAGUUAAUUAUAUAAUAUUUGGUAGUAGAAAACAAAACAACUAAGAUAUUGCUUCAACUCGAUGAAAUAUACAUUUUCUAGUGGAGGAUAUUUUUAUUCAUUUGCAUUAUAGUUGUUUUCUUUCCCCUUGCCAUUCCAUUUUUGUAACCAAACGAAAGAAUCAAUAUUCCUUGACCAAACCAAACAAAUUAAAGAAAUCAAUAUUCCUUUCCCCAUUCUAUUCCCCUUUUCUUUACCCUUAGCUUUCCAUUCCAUUAUUAUUCUCUAAUAAAAAUAAUUUUAAAUAAGUUAAAAUGCAAAUAAUUUAUAUUUAUUUUCUUAAAUUAAGAGGAUAAUUUAUUUAAAAAAAAGAAAAAGCACUAAGGUAAAUCGCCAGACCGUCACCGAAGACUCGCUGGAGAUGCAUUUCACUAUCAAAACCUGUACCAAUGGAAUCCUUGUGAGCCGAUCUACAACUCUAUGGAGUUAGAAAUGCUAAUAUACAUUGUUAUUUACCUCAAAUCUUGUUUAAAUAUUUGGGAAUAUUUUAACUCCCAUAUUUCCAACUAUAUAGUGUAUUUUCUUCAAAAUUAACACUUUCAAUGAGUAAAUCGUCCAUUUUUUUUUAUCAUUAUUAUGUAUUUAACACGAUAAAAGAUGGCGAUCAGCAUCGAUAACGCCGGUCAACGGCGGCAUAAUUUUAAUUUUAAAAAAUAAAAUUCUCUAUUUAACUAGGUAAUUUCAACCUGGAAGAGAUGUAGAGGGCUUUUUUUCUAUUAUUAAUAUUUUUUAAAUUUUAAAAAUGCCAUAAAAAAUACUAUGAAAUACAUUCAUCCAAUAUAACAACACAACUUAAGUACCUAAAUACCUAUUUUUUCCCUCUAUCUCUCUCUCAAUUUUUUGAUAUUUUUUCUUUUUUUUUAAAAAAAAGUUAGACUUUUUUAAUUUAAUUCCUUGCUCGUUAUAAUACGUAGAUAAAUUGCUUAAUUAUAGUUAGAUAGUCAUGGAAUAAUUAACAAAUUGUUGAAUCAUAAUAUGUAUAUUUUCGAUAAUAUUCGAGCAAUUAAAAAAAUUAAUUAAAUAAAACCAAACGUAGAUCGAGAAGGAAUAUGAGUAUCAUAAUUACGUAACCAUUGAGGUCGAGACUGGUUGUCACCUUGAGAAAAGGUCGCGCAACCAUAUGUAAUGGGUGUAGGCAGAGGCCGAGAGGCGUGCAUUUGGCCGUUCCAAUAUAAGGGCAUUUUAGACUUUUCAUGACAUGUUUUGUAUUCGGUGCAAAAUUUAAAUUCCUCAGAAUUUCCUCUUUAUAUACAUAUAGAAGCUCACAGAAUAAACAGUUGAACACUCAAGACCGAAGCGUGAUGGGCAACGAAGAUCGAACUUUCUGGCGGCUUGAAUCAAAGAAUCCAUAGAUUUUACUUGGGAGAAAAGAAACGUCAAAAUAUAAGAAAAAAAUAUACAAAAUAAAUAAACAUAAAACUAGAAAAAAGGCAAUGAUCGAACUUUCUUUUGGGGUCAAUGAUUCAUAGAAUUUCUUCUUGCUCUUCCCUUGUAUUCUCUCUUCUCACUACCUAUUUUACUGUUAUCUCUUCUAUUUCUCUUUCUUUAAAAACUUUUCAGCUGAAAUUUCUACCUUCUUAUGCCUCUUCAAUCGGAUUUUGAUUGAUCUUGUGGAGUUGAUUUUGUCAAAUCUAAAUUCAAUAUGUUGCAGCAAUGCAUCCUACGGUAUGGGAUUAUCUUAGACUAUGUGUCCACAAUAACAACGGCUUGUCUUUGCCUUCAUAUUAAUCAUCUCUUUGAAAAGUUACUUUGACGGUGGUUCAUAAAUUGUUAUUCAUUGUCUGAAUUUUCUGUGUGAGUGCCAUGCCGUUAGACCAUCUCUUAAAAUGGAAGUUUUCUUGCUAGACGCACCUAUUGUAUUCUGCUUGUUUACGUUUGAAUGUGCCCCAUCUUGGCUAUUCCAAUGAACUUAUUGCUUCCAAUCUAAUGAGCUCCAUUGAAGUUUAGUUAUACAGAGGUCAACAUAUGUGUUUGAAUACGGCUAUAACAAAGUACAAAUCAGUAUUUUAGCUGUGUUAAUUAUAUAAGAAUAUGAAGGGAAAAACUUUAGUUUAGUACAUCAACUAGUUCAUUGUGCAUCCUGUCACUUCUACUUCAGCUUGGAUGUAAACUGAUGUGAAUGGUUCACAUUGACUUGAUAUCAUGUGCAAUAUGAGAGACCACUGAGCUCUUCCUUGAAAGCAAUUAUUCAUUCCUAUCUGACUUAGAAUGGCCCUGUGCAUUUCAUAAUAAAAUCAGCUUCUAAAUCUGUGAUCUUAUGACAUAUUGUAUAGGCUAGGUUGCUGAAUUUUUUAUUUAACCAAUUAUGGAGCAAAGCCAAUCCUUAAAAAGAUUAAGAGAAGUUACUAUCAACUCAGUUGAUCGUUGAAUAUCUGCAAUUGCAACCUGCAUUCUCUCGCUCUAGAUUGGUGCAUAAUUUCUAUUGCAAAGUUUUGCAAACCUCCAACUAGUUUUGUCUAUGUGCCAAUUAUGGGAUUUGAAUCAACUUAUCUUUUAGAUUUGCUAUACCAAACUUUUAACAAAUUUUUUUUGCUGUUUCGGCAUUAUGUUGAACACUUGAUGUCAAAAUAACAUGUUUGCCAGCUUCUUGUAGUACCUGUAGGUGAAGCAGUCAGAGAGUCUCAUAUGUAUUCCUGUGAACUUAUUAUCCAAUCAAGCUACAAUGCUCGGAUACCAGAACAAAUUUCAUUAUUAUGAGCACAUUCUUAAAUUGCUGUCUCUCUUUGGGUGAUAUGAAGAUUUUGGAGAAGUACAAGCACUAACGUCCAAAGCUGGAGGUCAUAGCUGUACUCUUGUUUAGUUCAAAGAGACUGUUUUGAAAUGAUAGAUUGAAAGUUCUCUGUGCUUUUUUUUUUAAUGAGCCGUUGUAUUUUGAUGUUUAUUAGUAGGACGUUAUUAACUUCAUGAAAGUAAGUUACCAGGGCACAUAUCUUUGUUCCAGAAUCCUUCCGAUCUAGUUGUAAUUAUUCAUGAAACCCUCUGCAUAAAACGGAAAUCCUAAAUUAGUUAAUUGUUUCAAUACUUCGGACUUUGAAUUGAUUUAGUAUGCCUCAUGAAACCAAUAAUUGCACAUCCUCCACUCUGAGUCUCAGUGUGAUAUUGACCACAGCACUGCCUGAGCAUUGCAUUCUUCCCACUGGUUGGCUCAUUGGAUUCCAUUCUACUGUUUAACUACUGCUGUUAUGUCAGUUACUAGCUGGAAAAUACUGUUAUUUCUACAAUUGUUUUGAAUAAUGACAAAUUUAUUACUCCAACAACUUGGAACUGCCAAUGUUUUUUGAAGACUGGCCUUCAUUCUUCAUUGAUUUUUUCCACAGCCGAGUACGUGCUGCCUUUGAUGUUGCUCUCAAGUUUCACAGGAACAUACAAGAGUGGGACAUAGAAGUUGGUAGAAAUGUUGGUAACUGGAUUCUACGUUGGCUUGACCGACUGAAACCAUCUGCCCAGAUAUGUGGUCCCCCUGAGAAACUGUCACAUGGCCCCAGCAUGGGCAUGACCAACCAUGGAAUGAAGUCCUCGAAUCCAAAAACUCCUGGAAUCCAAACAUCUAGAAACAAGGAAUCUGAUAGAUAUCUGUUUAGCUCAUCAAAAAAUAUAUGGCUUAAACCACCCUCUUCUACCAUUGCCAUGAUGAUGCGGCAUCCAAGGCCUGCGGGAACCACAAUCCAGUAUAGGCAUCUUGAGACAAAUGGAUCUGAUCUGUUGAGUUUGAACUACAAUAGAAAUGGGUUUGAUGGAGUCCUGCGAAAGGACAUUAUGCAGUGGUUGCUGCAAAAGUGAAGGUAGAAGCUUAUCAAACACCUGCUACUUUCUGAAGUUUUAAUCGUCAAUAAUUCAGUUAUAAUAUCUCACUCAAACCGCUUGCAUUAUUGGACUCCUAAAUUUGAAAUUCAUCCAUGCGAGUUAUGGACCUGUUACUUGAUGCACUAAUUACUGAAGGGCUGCGUGCUGCGAAAGCUGGCAAGGAUAGGUUUUAGUUGUUCUGCUUCUUUACUCAAAGAUAGUAAUUGUUCUCUCCGUUUUCAGUGACUCUAGGGUUUUUGUUUCCGAAGCAGUAACUGCAUAGUUGCUUCUGGUAAUGUUUCUUUGUUUCUUUGUUUGUGACGCACAUUCCUCUAGAUUGGAAACGGCUGUGGUGAUGGUGAUCAUCUUUCUCUGUACUUGGCUUUGGUAGAUUCCACAGUCGAGGUGAUUAAAGAAUAUAUAUGCAGAGCAUACAUUGCGAAUCAUAGAUCAAUUGGGGGCAAAACAUAAAUCUUUUCGAGGUAAAAUGUGUGUUUACAUGCAAUUAGUAUUUGAGGCAAAUCCUAAUAAUAUAACGAGAGUGUUCCUUUUACUCUAGCAGAGAAUAAAGACUGGUUCCAUACACCAAGCGAUAACUGGGGCCGGCCAAGAUUCAUUUCAUUGUGUGAGUUAGAUGAGCUAGAGACUGGAUUUCUAGUGAAUGGCGUUUGCGUGGUGGAAGGCUGGAAGUGGAAGCUGAGGUCACUGUGCUUGUAAUUUCCGAGCCAUUAUAACAAGUAAUUAAUUGUCCUCCAAAUGGGUUCUUUUAUUGGGUGAUGCUGACUGCCUGGGUAAUCUAGGAAAUUUAUUUUAGCUAUCAGGAAAUUUAUUUUAGCUAUCAGGAAAUUUAUCUCUCUUGUGGUUUUCCAAAAUAACUCUUACGUUGUUUAUUGUUUAUGCUGUCCAGCUAACUUUUUAGUGUGAUUUUGGUUUUCUAUUUCUCUGCAUCUCUUUAAGGAGAAGUUCAUUAUAUCCCCUACGCUGUAAUGCUUCUCUUCUAAGAUUUUGAUUUUAAAAAAAUAAGAAAAAAAAAAUGUAGCUGAAACGAAGAAAAUUAGGAUGCAAGAGAACUAAUAAUUUCACUUAGGUGGCGUUUGUUUUUCAACUUAAUGAUUUAAAAUGACUUAACUUAAUUAAUUAAGUUAAUUAGAGGUGUUUGUUUUUAUAACUUAAUGAGACUUUUUAGAUAAUUUUGACUUAAUAAAAUAAGCCAAUUUUUUUGGCUUUUUACUUAAUGGAGAAAUCUGAAUUAAGUCAAUUACUUGCUAAUGUCAAAACUAUCCAUGUUUUAUAAUUUAUUUUUCAUGUCUAUCCCAAAACUCACCUAUAGACAUUUACCCCACAUUAAAAUAUCUCUAUUUUUUCUUUCUUAUAUUAUAUACGAUAAAAUUUAAAAUUUAUGGUAUUUUAUUUAUUAAAAUUCUAAAAUAAUUAUGUAUUCACUUGAAUAUAGUUUUACUUAUAAAUGUUAAAAUAUUGUGGUAUUUAAUAUAUUAUUUAUUUGACAUUUAAAUUUAAUAAUGAUACAAAUGUAAAAGUACAUAUUUUCAGCUUUUUAAGUUGAAAAAAACAAACAACUUAAUACUUAUUUUCUAAGAUUCAGACAAAAAAAUAAACAUAUUAUUCAGAUUCAGACAUUCAGAUCUAUUCAGAAUUCAAAUUAAUUUAGGUCUAUUCAGAUGUCAGAUAAAAAAACAAACGCCGCCUUAGUAAGAAAAUGAAAACAAAGUAGAAUAGAAUCAAGAUCAAAUCAAAAUCCUAUCAUACAACGUGAUAAAAUCACUAAAUUUUCUAAUUAUACUAGCUCAAAAUCACUAAAUUCUCUAAUUAUGCUGCCACUAUAUUUCAUAAAAAAAAUCCAAUUACCAACGUGAUAUUUUAUCUAUAAAGAUAAAUAAUACUCAUCAAUUUAUGGAUAUAGCCAAAGUGCCAAACUGCCAACCAUUUUGUUAAUAAUCCAGGGAAGCAAGAAAAUAAGGCUUUUUGCGGUUGAUUAAAGUCCCCGCAAACAAACAAUAUUUACUAGUAGUGGCGUGGAUAAUGCUAAUUAAUUACUAAAUUAAUUAUACUAGCAAUACUACCUUAGGAUAUUUUGUUAAAUUCUCUAGUAAUACUACCUUAGGAUCACUAAAUUUUCUAAUUAUACUAGCUCAGAAUCACUUAAUUCUCUAAUUAUGCUAACACUAUAUUUCAUAAAAGUUCAUAUUAUCGAUGUGAUAUUAUUUCUAUAAAGAUAAAUUAAUAUUUAUUAAUUAAUGGAUAUAGCCAAAGUGCCAACCAUUUUGCUAAUAAUCCAGGGAAGCAAUUGAUCCACUACAAACCAUAUUUACUAGUAGUGGCGUUGAUAAUGCUAAUUAAUUACUAGUUCUAUUUCUACAAUGAGCUAUUUUGAAUUGCAGAACUCUAGUUUCUCAAGUUACGUCAGUCAAAUUUCCUCGCGAAAUCAUCAAAUCUCACAAAAAACCUCUGUUCUUGGACUGAGGCAAUGGCGUUUCCUGUGUAUAGUAGGAGCUUUAGUUUUUUAUUUGAAAGAAAUAAUGAAGAAAAAACAUGUCCUUAUCAGUACCACCAACUCAAUUUGCAAAUAAAAAAAAACGAAAAAAAAUUAAUCGAAAACAGAGCAAGCCAAUAUGAAUUCUUUUCAUCUCAGCCUGCUCAAAAACAGAGCAAGAUAAAGCUUAAAUAAUAAUGUGAAAGCUCAAAAACAGAGCAAGAUGAAUCUUUUCAAUAAUGUGAAAGUAAAUAAAACAAUAAGGUGAAGAGUUAUGAAUUUUGCCUAAUGCUUGCGUAAACAAUCACGACCGAGGAAAACUUUCCAGAAAUAAGAACAGAAAUUUUAAUGCAACCUACAAUGAGAUGAUAGAACAAGUUGUCAUUCACAUAUUGCUUAUUCAUCAAUCUUUUCAGCUUUGGUUAAAGUCGGGAGGUAACACUCAAUUUAUGCAGGAACCAACAAACAAAAGAUGCAUUUUUUGGGAAGUAUGAAGACAAUUGAACCAGCAAGCGUGAAGCGCCCCCACCCCCAAAAAAAAAAAGAAGAAGAGAAUUGGUGACCCAGGUCAUAUGACUGUAGUAUGCUCGGUAGUAUCAUUUUUUAUAAAUUUCUGAGACUUUGUUUUGGGGUUGUGGUUAUAAGCUUUCGGGUCCCACGUCACAUGAUUUUCGGCCAAGCAGAAUUUAGUUUCCCUCCCUUUUGUCAGUCAAUUUGUUUCAGAAAUUUUGAUGGUGAUCAAAUCAAAAUUGAUGCUUCUAUUCAUGUAUCAGUGCAAUAAGUGAGCUAGUGAUAAUCGUGGCUCUGUUUUGGACUUCAAUACCUUUGAAGAGCUAGCUAGCGGUCUUGUAGUUGUUUAACAUUAUAUGCGAGGGAGGAAGGUUAUGUUCUUUUGUGGUAUCACUGCUCCAUUAACACUUUGCCCAUGUUUGAGUAUCAUAUUGGCAUUUUUACGUUGAUUAACUAAUUAACAUAAUUAUAUAUCAUCUAAGCUGCUAUACAAAACGCUAUGGUUGGAUCUAAUUAGGAUUCAAUAAUAUCGUAUUUUUCAAUAUUUGAUAGUAAAUUGCAAUGAUAAUACUAAAUCGAGCCUAAAUUUUGGAAGCUAAUUUUAUAAUAUUUGAUAAUAGAAAAUAGAACAACUAAAAUAUUGCUUCAGCUCGUUGAAAUACACAUUUUUUUAGUGGAGGGUACAUAUUCUUGUUCAUUUGUAUUGUAGCUGUUUUCUUGCCCCUUACCAUCCAUUCUUGCAACCAAGCAAAGAAAUCAAUAUUCCUUGACCAAACCAAACAAAUUAAAGAAUCAAUAUCCCUUCUCCCCAUUGCAUUCCUCUUUCCAUUCCAUUCUUACGACUAUCAGUUUCCAAAACUUGGCGAAUAUCAAUUGUUAUUCUAACUCUUUCUGAAAAUUUAAUGUUGAAUUGUAUAAACCCUCAACCUUGGUGCUUUAUAUAUACCAUGGUCCCCUUUAAAUAUUUUAAAGAACAACUACUACUCUUGGGAUAAUACUCUAACCCUUGAAAAAAUCUUAUUAUAAUCGAAUCGUUCUUCAGUACUAGUUUUAGUACCUGAAGAAUUGCAGUAGUUUGGAGGAAUUCGUUGCAAUGGAAAAUGACUUCGUAGACCAAGUUGGUAUGUUCUCUAGCUCUUUCCCCAGCUCCCCUUCUCUAUGUAUAUUUAUAUAUGUGGAUCGAACAUUUCUAGCCUGUUAUUUUCUGAUCAGUGUUAAAAUUACUCUUGACAGCAAUUUCAAGAUCCAUUUCACAUGUACCGCCGGCACAUUUCUUACUCAAAAUAGAGGCAUUUUCAUCUCUUGUGGAGAAUGAUGUGGAAAAUUAUGAAUCUUUGGAAUUUGAUGCUGGAGGCUACAAGUGGUGUGGCCCAAAACCCAAUUAUACACUAUAUUCAGAUCACCUUAUUACUAAAUUACAUAUCAUAAUCUAAUAUGUUAUUUUGAAUUCAUGAUGGUUUCAGGAAACUUGUUGUCCACCCAAAUGGAAAUAAAAAUAAAAAUGUGAAAGACCACAUCUCAGUCUACUUGGCUAUGGUAAACACAAGUUCACUUGGCCUUGGUUGGGAAGUCGAUGUGAUUUUCCGCCUAUUUGUGCUUGAUCAAAACAAAGACGAGUUCUUGAUUCUUCAAGGUUGACUAUUACACUCAACAAUGUUUACGAUUGUUUUGUUCUUAUUUAUUUAAGUGAGACCUAAUCAAUUAUUUGGGCCGGGUCACCUUCAUGUGAUAGAUGGCAUGGGAAAAGAAAGACGCUUUCAUAGAUUGAAGCUUGAAUGGGGUUUUGAUCAAUUCAUUCCGCUUGAAGAAUUUAACGAUGCUUCGAAUGGAUAUCUUGUGGGAGAUACAUGUGUGUUUGGGGCAGAAUUAUCGGUUAAAGAAAGGAACAAAUGCAAAGGGGAGUGCCUUUCCAUGACGAAAUUGACAUCUGCUUCCAAUUAUAAGCAUGUUUGGAAGAUCGAGAACUUUUCAAAGUUAGAGGCAAAGCUUUACGAAUCAGAAGUAUUCGUUGCUGGAAAUCAAAAGUGGUAUGUAUAUAUAUCAUAGACUAAGUCUAGACUUAAGCAUGACUAAUACUUAGGAUUCAUUUGUACAUGUGCAAUAUUUUUAUGAGUUUUGAAUAAUACAACUUGUUAAAAAGAUGCAUCAUGUUAAAAUCACUUCUUCGAAUGUAUAAUGUAAAAUGAAUUGUUAAAACUUAUUUGUUUCCCUAUUCAUAAAUAUAAUCUAAAUGCCACAUCUGAAAGUUAAUGUUUAAUUGAAUCCAGAGACUUAAACUUUACCCUUGUUGAUUUUUCUCAGGAAGAUAAAACUCUAUCCCAAAGGACAGGGAGAAGGUAGGGGUAGUCAUAUUUCUAUGUACUUGGAAUUGGAUGACUCGUCAACUAUAACUCAUGGCUCUAAAAUAUACGUGCAUUUUACCCUGCGAAUCCGGGAUCAAGUGUUGUCCAAGCAUCAUGAAAAAAAAAGUAAAUUAUUAUAAACCCAAACUUUAAUAGGUAAUACAGUUCAAUAUGCUUUGUAGCUAAAUACAAAUAACUUCAGGUUUCUAUUGUCGUUUUUGCAGAUAGUAACUGGUUCACUACCUCAGAUAAAGCUUGGGGUAGGACAAAAUUUGUUGAACUCAGUUACUUUAACAAGGCAGAAAAUGGUUUUCUUGUGAAUGAUGUGUGCAUUGUGGAAGCAGAGGUGCCUGUGCUAGGAAUUUCCAAAGCCCUGUAAUGAAUAACUAAUAAGCAUUGUUACUCUUGCAAGAAAAUUGGGAUGCCAAUUUUUAAUUUUAUUUCUUAUAAUAAGAGUUAAUCUCAUUGUACCCAUACCUUUUGUCAAAGAAAUCCAGUUGCUGACACUCGAUAAUAUUGGUUGCUAAGCCUCUACAUGGAGAUUACAUGGGGAUGCCUUCUUAUGGGUUUAGCAUGUGAUAUCUAAUCCACUGUUGCUUUUGUCCUGUUUGUAUUUUGCUUUAUAGUCACAAUAUGUAAGCUUGACUAUGUCCUUGGUAUUACAGGCUUUUUAUUAUAUAAAUGUGAAAUAAAAUCAACUUAAUUUUCAAAUAACAUCAAAAAAUAUUUAUCAAUCACUAAAGUACUACUUAACCACAAUACUAAAUUGGGCCUAAAUUUUGGAAGUUAAUUAUAUAAUAUUUGAUAAUAGAAAACAGAACAACUAAAAUAUUGCUUCAACUCGUUGAGAUAUAUGUUUUCUAGUGGAGGAUAUUUUUGUUCAUUUGUAUUAUAGUUGUUUUCUUUCCCUUACCAUUCCAUUCUUGUAACCAAACGAAAGAAUCAAUAUUUCUUGACCAAACCAAACGAAUUAAAGAAAUCAAUAUUCAUUUCCUUAUUCUAUUCCCCUUUCCUUUACCCUUAGCUUUCCAUUCCAUUCUUGCAACCAUCAGUUUCCAAAAUUUGGUGGAUAUCAGUAGUCAUUCUGACUCUUUCUAAAAAUUUAUUCUUGAAUUGUUUAUGGUUAUUGACGCCAACAAAAAUAAAUACCUACUCUAAAUAAAUUGUGUAUAGUGAUUGAGCAGGGUCGUGUCCACAGAGAUCGGUAAUUAUUUAAAUCCUUUUGAAACGUAAAACGUAAAAUGGGGGAAUUGUUGACAAUAAUAAAAAUCAAAUUAAAAUAACAAGAAUGCAAAUUAAAGUUGUAAUUCAAAUUGGAGAAAACUCUGGUUGAAGGAAUUAACUCAGCUUAAUUCGACUACUGAUCAUUGAUUCAAAUAUAAAUUAUUAUUACUUAUGAAUAGACCGGUUAUAACUACUGAGACCCUCUAAUAAUCAAUCUCUCCUUAACUAGUCGAUAACCAAGGUACGACCGUUGGUUAUUUCCCUAAUCAAUAGACAACCCUAGAUACGAUCAUAUGAUUUAAUCAAUUGACAGCCUGAAAAACCAGAGAGACCCAAAUCCUAAUCAACAAACACAUACGAUGGUUCAUUUAAAUUAGAUUGUUUAAUCUCACAACACAACUCUCUGCUAUGUUAUUUGUCACAAACAUUAAAAUCUUCAUACGAUGAAUCCUUUAAUUGACAAUAGAUUAAGUUGAUAAUUAAAUAGUGGCCAAUUACCUAAUUAACAAACAUAAUCAUGAAAAUAAUUCAGAGAAUAAACAAAUACCCAAAAAGCAAUAAAAAAAUUAAAGCAUAAGAAAGAUCUCACAGUAGUGAUGAAUCAAAGCUUCAUUAACCUUCAACCAGAAUAAUAGGUUUAGUUCUUCAUAGAGAGAAGAGAAAAAUUUAGAUCUAGGGUUUCUUUCUUUUCUCCAAUCCAAUCCCCCUUUUCACAAUAGAUUCCUCCCUUCAAUACUCUCUCUCUCUUCUCUUUUAGAGUUCUAUUUAAAAUAAAAUACUAAUAUCUGAAAUAUUAAAUUCGUAAUUACAAAAAUAACCAAAAAUACAAAACACAUUAUUCGGAAUUUGGUUAUUGAUGCUUGCUAAAUAUCUAAUGUAUGAAAGCAGAGGAGAGUAAUGGAGUUUUGUUGUGGCUAGGAAUUGAUUUCUUGGAGUAAUAAUGUGGCUUACCACUAGCUUGGCUAGACAGAGAACGGCUUAUUAGCAAAGGCAACGGACAGAAGGAACCAAAAUUUUAGGUUUUCUAAGAAUAGGGAGAGGGUGAAACAAGUAAACUUACAAAUUUAUAACAGAUCCUGAAAACCUAAUUUCAAAUUUUUAUCCAGAUGUCAGUGUUGUUGUCUACUCAUAUUAUAUAUUUUUUAGCAGUCCAACAUAACGAUUUUUAGUAAUUUUUAUACUCAACUAAAAAUUAUGAAAUUAAACAUACAUUAAGUAGACAUAAUAAGGAAAAUUGGCGAAGUCAGACAUGCUGCUGAAAAUCAGAAUUUUCCAACACAAUUGUUCUAAUUUCGAAAAUUCACAACAAAUUGAUUACUUGGAAUCUCUUUGCACAAAAUACAUCAUUGAAAACCUUGAGAUGUCUACUUUAAUUUUAUGGUGCAGAAAUUAAAUCAAAAAUAAAGGAAAAAUAGUAACCAAAUCACAAUGCUCAUGCCUCAUAAUGCCUGACUGGUCAUUCAUGAUAAAAAGAACAAUACAUGCAUUCAUCAUCAAAUACAUAAGAUCGUAUUAGAGAGCAUGAAUUAAAGAAGGAUAAAUACCUCAAAACUUCUUUCAAAUAUGCAUAAAAGAAGACCUUGGAAUUCAUUUUUUUUAAUACAUUUUUAUUUGGUUGAAGAAUUUUAAAUCAUAUGGAGAUAGGAAGAGUUUAAGUUUUAUAAAAACAAAUGCUUUUAUAAAAAUACAUUAUACGAUAGAUAGAUAAUCCCUCAUAAUUUAUUUUUAAAAAAUAAAUAAAAAGAAUUAUACCUUAUCUCAAAUAAUGCUAAUUAAAAUAAAUUUGCAACAAAAGAUAAACAAUUAAAUAGAUAAGCAUAAUUAAAUUCAAACAAAUAAUUAGAGAUGGGUGUUACAUUGGGAGUGGCCAAAAUUUGUUAAACUCGGUUACUUGAACAAUGCUAACAAUGGUUUUCUUGUGAAUGAUGUGUACAUUGUGGAAACAGGGGUGCCUGUGCUCGGAACUUCCAAAGCCCUGUAAUAUAUACUCUAAUUAGUAUUGUUACUCUUGCAAGAAAAUUGGAAUGCCUUAAUUUUAUUUCUUAUAAUAAGAGUUAAUCUCAUUGUACCCAUAUAUUCUGGUAAAGAAAUUCUUAUGCUGACAUUCAAUAAUUGGCGGUUAAUUGUUUGUUAAGUCUCCACAUGGAGAUUAGAUGGGAUGCCUUCUUAUGGAUUAAGCCUCUGAUAUCUAAUUCAUUGCUGUAUUUCUCUCUCUAUAUUUUGCCUUAUAGUUGCGCUAGGUAACGUAUUAUAGGUUUUUUAUCUUACAAGUGUAAAAUAAAGUUAAUCUAUCUUUCAAAUCACAUCAAUAAAUGUUUACUAAAUACUUAAGUGCUGCUUAACCACAAUAGCAAAUCGGGCCAAAAUUUGGAAAUUAAUUAUAUAACAUUUGAUAAUAAAAAAUAUAACAAUUAAAAUAUUGAUUCAACUCGUUGAUAUAUACAUUUUUUUGAUUGGAGGGUAUUUUUGUUCACUUGUAUUGUAGUUGUUUUCUUUCCCAUUACCAUUCCAUUCUUACAACCAAGCAAAGAAAUCAAUAUUCCAUAACCAAACCAAACAAAUUAAAGAAAUCAAUAUUCCUUUACCCUUUCCAUUCCAUUCUUGCAACUAUCAGUUUCCAAAUUUUGGUGAAUGUCAAUAGUCAUUCUGACACUUUCUGAAAAUUUAAUGUUACUAUUCCAUUCUUGCAACUAUCAAUUUCCAAAUUUUGGUGAAUGUCAAUAGUCAUUCUGAUACUUUCUGAAAAUUUACCCUUUCAAUUCCAUUCUUGUAACUAUCAGUUUCCAAAUUUUGGUGAAUGUCAAUAGUCAUUUUGACACUUUCUUUCCCAUUACCAUUACAUUCUUGCAACCAAACAAAGAAAUCAAUAUUCCUUAACCAAACCAAACAAAUUAAAGAAAUCAAUAUUCCUUUACCCUUUCCAUUCCAUUCUUGCAACUAUCAGUUUCCAAAUUUUGGUGAAUGUCAAUAGUCAUUCUGACACUUUUUGAAAAUUUAAUGUUACCAUUCCAUUCUUGCAACUAUCAAUUUCCAAAUUUUGGUGAAUAUCAAUAGUCAUUCUGAUACUUUCUGAAAAUUUACCCUUUCCAUUCCAUUCUUGUAACUAUCAGUUUCCAAAUUUUGGUGAAUGUCAAUAGUCAUUUUGACACUUUCUUUCCCAUUACCAUUCCAUUCUUGCAACCAAACAAAGAAAUCAAUAUUCCUUAACCAAACCAAACAAAUUAAAGAAAUCAAUAUUCCUUUUACCCUUUCCAUUCCAUUCUUGCAACUAUCAGUUUCUAAAUUUUGGUGAAUGUCAAUAGUCAUUCUGACACUUUCUGAAAAUUUAAUGUUGAAUUGUAUAAACCCUCAACCUUGAUGCUUUAUAUAUACCAUGGUCCUUUUUAGAUAUUUUAAAGAAGAAAGGUUACUCUUGAGAUAACUCUAACCCUUAAAAAAUCUUAUUAUAAUCAAUCUUUCUUCUAUACUCUUUUUAGUACUUGAAGAGUUAUAGUAGUUUGAAGGAAUUUGUUGCAAUGGAAAAUCAAGUUGGUACGUUAUCAGGCUCUUUCCCCAGCUCCCUUUCUCUAUGUAUGUUUAUAUAUGUAAAUCGAACACUUUUAGCUUGUUAUUUUCUUAUCAGUGUUAAAAUGACUCUUGACAGCAGUUUCAAUAUCCAUUUCACAUGUACCACCGGCUCAUUUCCUACUCAAAAUACAAACAUUUUCGUCCCUUCUGGAAAAUAAUGUGGAAAGUUAUGAAUCUUCGGAAUUUAAUGUUGGAAGCCACAAAUGGUAUGGCCUAAAACUUAGUACACUAAUAUUAAGAUUACCUUAUUACUUAAUUAUAUAUCAUAAUCUAAUAUGUUAUUUAAUUCAUGAUGGUUUCAGGAAACUUGUUGUGUACCCAAAUGGAAAUAAAAAAAAAAAGGUGAAAGAUCACAUCUCACUCUACUUGGCAAUGGCAGACUCAAGUUCUUUUGGUUUCGGUUGGGAAGUCUUUGUGAUUUUUCGCCUGUUUGUGCAUGAUCAGAACGAAGACACGUACUUGAUUCCUCAAGGUUGAUUAUUAAACUCAAGAAUAUUUAUGAUCAUUUUGUUCUUAAUUAUUUAACUGAGAGCUAAUCAAUGAUUUGACGUUACUUCAUCAUGUGGUAGAUGCAAUGGGAAAUGAAAGACGUUUUCAUGGGUUGAAGCUUGAAUGGGGUUUUGAUCAAUUCAUCCCGCUUAAAGAAUUUAACGAUGCUUCAAAUGGAUAUCUUGUGGGAGAUACAUGUGUUUUUGGAGCAGAAGUCUUUGUUAAAGAAAGGAACAUAGUCAAAGGAGAGUGCCUUUCCAUGAAGAAAUUCACAUCUGCUUCCCCUGAUAAGUAUGUUUGGAAGAUCAAGAACUUUUCAAACUUGGAGGCAAAGCGUUACGAAUCAGAAGUAUUCGUUGCUGGAGAUCAAAAGUGGUACUUAUACUUUCUGAAUUGCUGUUCAAGUACAGACGUUCGAGAGUUUUUAAAAUUCGGAUUUGAACUAUGACAAGUUGUACUUUUAACAACGAUUUACAACUCUAAUGUAUCAUAGACUAAAUCUAGACAUUUGUACCUGAGCAUGACUAAUACUUAGGGUUCAUUUGUACAUGCGCGAUAUAUUUCUGAUGCCGAUGCAAAAGAAAUUCUUUUGAGUAGUUUUGAAUAAUACAACUAGUUAAAAUAAUGCAUCAUGUUAAAACCACUUCUUCAAAUGUGUAAUGUAAAAUGAUUUGCACAAAUUUUUUUAUUUAUCUAUUCAUAUAUAUAAUCUAAGCAUCACAUCUGAAAGUUAAUGUUUUGAUAAUUUGUUAAAUGGAACCUCUUAGUAAAUAUGUACAAUUGAAUGCCGAGACUUAAACUUUACCCUUCUUGAUUUUUUCAGGAAGAUACAACUCUAUCCCAAGGGACACGGAGUAGCUAGUGGCAGUCAUAUUUCUAUGUACUUGGCAUUGGCUGACUCCUCAACUAUAACUCGUGGUUUUAAAAUAUACGUGCACUUCACACUGCGAAUCCGGAAUCAAGUGCGGGGAAAGCAUAAAGAAGCAAAAGGUAAUUAAAUAAAAAAAUUAUUAUCCCAAACUUAUUUCACAGGUGCAUGAAUUAAUGCAAUAAUAGUACUGCAACUAUAAGCUUUAUAGCUAAAUACAAAUAACUUGAGGCUUUCUUUAUUGUUGUUUCACGCAGCAAGUAUAUGGUUCAGUUACUUAAACGAGGCAGGCAAUGGUUUUCUUGUGAAUGAUGUGUGCAUUGUGGAAGCAGAGGUUUCUGUUCUUGGAAUUUCAAAAGCAUUGUGAUAAUUUAAAUUCUCGUUGUUGUUAUGAGAUAUACCUAUUCAUCUCUUGGUAAAAAGAAUGUGUAUUUUACACUAAUAACUUUAGGAAGUGAGUUGCAAAAGCAGCUCCAUGAUUUAUGAUGUAUGUGUGUAUCAUCAUACUCCUUGAAAUAUAAUAUACAUAACACCUUAAGAAUAAAAAAAACAUGUUGCUAAAUGCACGACCGAAUAUAUAUGCUUUAUUGGCUAUAAAUACCCAUCAAUCAAAUAUUUCAAGAGAUUGAGAAAUGAAACAGUGAACACGCGAAGAAGUUCUGCUAAUUAUUCUACCAUUGACUUAUUAUUAUUUUGCUCCUUUUAACUUCAUGCCAUUUUUAUUGUUUGACAUAUUUGUACCCCUUUUUUAUUCAAGUAAAGAGGUGUAUUUAAAAGAUCUCUUUCACUAAAACAGUGGCAUUAUAAAAAUUAAAAAACAGAGAACCCAACAGUUGAGAUGAGGCCGGGAGACCUCAAAGAGAUGUAGAGUUUUUUUUUUUUUUUUUUUUUUUUUUUUUUUUUUUUUAAUUUUAAAUAUGCCGUAAAAAUGGCCAAUUUCCAGAACUACGCCUGCUUUCGGCUUUAUUCACUUAUAUGAGAUUACGACCGAGUGAAUUGCACAAAGACUAUAAAAUACAUUCAUUCAAUAUAGCAACACAAGUUCAAUACCUAAAAAACCUAUUUUGCCUCUCUCUCUCCAAUUUUUUUUUUUUUUUAAAGUGAUAGGCUUUCUUUAGUUUAAUUUUUCGUUCGUUAUAAUGCAUAGCAUAGAUAAAUUACUUAAGUACAAUUAGAUAAUUAUGGAAUAAUUAACAAAUAAUAUUAUCAUAAUUAAUUCAUUUUCGAUAAUAUUCGAGUAAUUAAAAAAUUAAAUAUAGAUCGAAUAUGAAAAUGAGUCUCACAAUUAUGUAACUAUUGGUUAAAAUAAAGUCGAGUAUGGUUGUCAACUAAAAAAAGGUCGGGCAGCUAACUAAUGGGUGUGGGUGGAGUGUGUCAUUCUAAUGGAAGGGCUUUCUAGACUUUUCCUCACAUAUUUGUCAUGUUUAUGGAAAUUUUAUUUUCAUUGAUUGCAAAAUCCUCAAAAAUUCCUCUUUAUAUACAUAUGAAGUCCGGAGACAAUAAACGGAUAAACACUCUUUAAGGCCGAAGCGUGAUGGGUAACCAAGAUCGAAAUUUCUGGCGGCUCGAAUCAAGGGAUCCAUAGAUACUUGGGAGAAAAGAAACAUCAAAAUAUAAAAAAUAUCCAAAAAUAAAUAAACAUAAAACAAAAAAAAAAGUGCAUAAAUACACGAACAAUACAGAGAGAGAGAGAGAGAGUUCUAGAAAGAGAGACAAUGGUGCUAUGGGAGAUCACAUUGGGAACAGCGUAUUUCUUGGGGAUGAAGCGGACGUACAGGCUUGCUUUGAGGAUUCAGGGCCGCGUUAUCAGCCCUAAGCACCCCCGGAUUCGUCAAUUUGUUCACCGGUAUAUUUGUGUUACUGUUGUUGUUAUUAUUAUUUGAUUAUUUCAUUUUGUUUGGAGUUUGAUUUUGAUUAAUUUGUAGCUUGAUGGGUUAGCAGUCAAUAGGUUUAUUAGCAGAUGGGUUUAAUUAAGCUAGGUGGUUUCAAGUGUUAAUUUUCAGUAAUGGGUUCUGUAGCUAUGUUCAUUACGGCAAUAAGAGCUGUUGAUUUUGGAGUCAAAAGAGGUUUAUGAUGAUGAUGGUGGUAUUCGUGGUGUUGAUAAUGAUAUGUAUUAUACUGAUAUGGGAUAUAUUAACAAUACAUUGCAAUGCAAUGUUCUUGUGUUUCACAAUUUUAUGAUAUUUUUCAAAAUUGAUCUUGGUAAUUUGAUAUAGUAGUGUGUGUUAUUUUGAAUUUGGUUGUUGAUGCUUGCUAAAGAUCUAAUGUAACAAAGCUGGGGAGAGUAAUGGAGUGUUUUGUGGCUAGGAAUUGAUUUCUUGCAGAGCUAAUGUGGCUUAAUAGCGGCUAGACAGAGAACUGCUUAUUAGCAAAGGCAACGGACAGAAGGAUCCAAAAUUUUAGGUUUUCUAAGAAUAGGGGGAGAGGGUGAAGCAAAUAAAAAUUACAAAUUUGUAAAAGAUCCUGAAAACCUAAUUUCAAAAGUUUAUCCAGAUAUGAGUCUUGUCGUCUACUUAUGUUAUAUAUUGCAGUGAAAGUAAACCAUGUUUACCUUACAGAAACUAUUUUUGUGUGAACUUAACUAUGGAGUAACUAUAUAGGAAGCAACAGACAUGAGCUAUUCUUGUAGCAUCUCCUAAUUACUUAUAUAUUUCCUUAGGAAGUACUCCUAUGCCAUCAAAAACCAUAAAAGCGUGUGUUCUUUAGGGAGGUAUUGUAUGGAUUUUGGUUUUCUUUUGGGGUCAAAGAUUCAUAGAAUUUCUCCUUGCUCUUCCCUUGUAUUCUCUCUUCUCACUACCUAUGGUACGAUUCUUUCUUCUAUUUCCAUUUCUUCAAAAAAAAUUUAGCUGAAAUUUCUACCUUCUAAUGCCUCUUCAAUGGGAUUUUGAUGGAUUAUGUGGAGUUGACUGCGUCGAAUCUGAAUUCUAUAUGUUGCAGCAGUGCAUCCUGCGGAAUGGGAUUAUCUUAGGAUAUGUGUCCACGAUUAUGACGGCUUGUAUUUGCCUAUGUGUUAUUAUCUCUUUGAAAAGUCCACAAUUAUGAUGGCUUGUCUUUGGCUAUGUAUUAAUCAUCUCUUUGAAAAGUUACUUUGAUGGUGGUUCAUAACUUGCUAUUCAUGGUCUGAAUUUUCUGUCUGAGUGCCAUGCCACUAGACCAUCUCUUAAAAUGGAAGUUUUCUUGUUAGAUGCACCUGUUGUACUCUACUUGUCUACUUUUGAGUGUGCCCCAUCUUGGCUAAUCCGAUGAACUUAUUGCUUCCAAUCUUAUGAGCUCCAUUGAAGUUUAGUUGUACAGAGGCCAAAUAUGUGCUUGAAUACAACUAUAACACAGUACCAAUCUGUAUUUUAUUUGCGUUAAAUAUAUAAGAAUAUGGAAGGAAAAACUUUUAAGAAUAGUACUUCAACUAGUUCAUCGUGCAUCCUGACAUUUCUACUUCAGCUUGGUUGUAAGCUGAUGUGAAUGGUUCACAUUGACUUGAUAUCGUAUGCAAUAUGAGAGACCACUGGGCUCCUCCCUGAAAGCAAUUAUUCUUCCCUAUCUGACUUAGAAUGGCCCUGUGCCUUUUAUAAUAAAAUCAGCUUCUAAAUAUGUGAUCUUAUUACAUGUUGGAUAGGCUAGGUUGCUGAAUUUGUGAUUUAACCAAUUAUGGAGCAAAGCCAAUCCUUUAAAGGAUUAAGAGAAGUUACUAUCAACUCAGUUGAUCGUUGAAUAUUCGCAACUGCAACCUGCAUUCUCUCAUUCUAGAUUGGUGCAUAAUUUCUAUUGCGAAGUUUUGCAAACCUCCAACUAGUUUUGUCUGUGUGCCCAUUAUGGGAUUUGAAUCAACUUAUCUUUUAGAUUUGCCAUAUCAAACUUUUAACAAAAUGUUUUUGCUGUUUUGGCAUUAUGUUGAACCCUUGAUGUCAAAGCAACAUGUUUGCCAGCUUCUUGUAGUACCUGUAGGUGAAGCAGUUAGAGAGUCUCAUAUGUAUUCCUGUGAACUUAUUAUCCAAUAAAGCUACAAUGCUCGGAUACCAGAACUAAUUUCAUUAUUAUGAGCACAUUCUUAAAUUGCUGUCUCUCUUUAGGUGAUGUGAAGAUUUUGGAGAAGCACAAGUACUAACGUCCAAAGCUGGAGAUCAUAGCUGUACUCUUGUUUAGUUCAGAGAGACUGUUUUGAAAUGAUAGAUUGAAAGUUCUUCUGUGCUUUUCUUUUUAAUGGGCCGUUGUAUUUUGAUGUUUAUUAGUAGGACGUUAUUAACUUCAUAAAAGUAAGUUACCAGGGCACAUAUUUUGCUCCAGAAUCCUUCCGAUCUAGUGCAUAAAAUGGAAAUCCUAAAUUAGUUAAUUGUUUCAAUACUUUGGACUUUGAAUUGAUUUAGUAUGCCUCAUGAAGCCAAUAAUUGCACAUCCUCCACUCUUAGAGUCUCAGUGUGAUAUUGCCCACUGUACUGCCUGAGCAUUGCAUUCUUCCCACUGGUUGGCUCAUUGGACUCCAUUUUACUGUUUAACUACUGCUGUUAUGUCAAUUACUAGCUGGCAAAUACUGUUAUUUCUACAAUUGUUUUGAAUAAUAACAAAUUUAUUACUCCUCCAACUUGGAACUGCCAUUGUUUUUUGAAGACUGACCUUCAUUCUUCAUUGAUUUUUUCCACAGCCGAGUAUGUGCUGCCUUUGAUGUUGCUCUCAAGUUUCACAGGAACAUACAUGAGAGGGACAUAGAAGUUGGUAGAAAUGCUGGAUUCUACGUUGGCUUGACUGAAUGAAACCAUCUGCCCAGAUACGUGGUCCCCCUGAGAAACCUUCACAUGGCCCCAGCAUGAGCAUGGCCAACCAUGGAAUGAAGUCCUCGAAUCCAAAAACUCCUGGAGUCCAAACAUCUAGAAACAAGGAAUCUGAUAGACAUCUGUUUAGCUCAUCAAAAAAUAUAUGGCCUAAACCACCCUUUUCUACCAUUGCCAUGAUGAUGUGGCAUCCAAGGCCUGUGGGAACGACAACCCAUUAUAGGCAUCUUGAGACAAAUGGAUCUGAUCUGUUGAGUUUGAACUACAAUAGAAAUGGGUUUGAUGGAGUCCUGCGAAAGGACAUUAUGCAGUGGUUGCUGCAAAAGUGAAGGUAGAAGCUUUUCAGACACCUGUUAGUUUCUGAAGUUUUAAUUGCCAAUAAUUCAGUUAAAAUAUCUCACUCAAACCGCUCGCAUUAUUGGACUCCUAAAUUUGAAAUUCAUCCAUGCGGGUUAUGGUCCUGUUGCUUGAUCAUCAAGCCUUGAUCACUAAUUACUGAAGGGCUGCGUGCUGCGAAAGCUGGCAAAGCUAGGUUUUAGUUGUUUUGCUUCUUUUCUGAAAGAUAGUAAUUGUUCUCUCCGUUUUCAGUGACUCUAGGUUUUGUGUUUCCGAACCAGUAACUGCAUAGUUGCAUCUGGUAAUGUUUGUUUGUUUCUUUGUUUGUGAAGCACAUUCCUCCAGAUUGGAAACGGCUGUGGUGAUGGCGAUCAUCUUUCUCUGUACUUGGCUUUUGGAGAUUCCACAGUCAAGGUGAUUAAAGUAUAUAUAUAUGCAGAGCAUCCAUUGCGAAUCAUAGAUCAAGUGGGGGCAAAACAUAAAUCUUUUCGAGGUAAAAUAUCUGUGUUUACAUGCAAUUAGUAUUUGGGGCAAAUCCAAUGACUAUAACGAGAAUGUUCCUUUUACUCUAGUAGAGAAUAAAGACUAGUUCAAUACACCAAGCGAUAACUGGGGCUGGCCAAGAUUCGUUUCAUUGAGUGAGUUAGAUGAGCCAGAGACUGGAUUUCUAGUGAAUGGCGUUUGCGUGGUGGAAGCUGAGGUCACUGUGCUUGGAAUUUCCAAGCCAUUAUAACAAGUAAUUAAUUGUCCUCCAAAUGGGUUCUUUUAUUGUGUGAUGCCGACUGCCUGGCUAAUCUAGGAAAUUUAUUUUAGCUAUCAGGAAAUUUAUUUCUCUUGUGGUUUUCCAAAAUAACUCUUACGUUGCUUAUUGUUUAUUUUCCAAAAUAACUCUUACGUUGCUUAUUGUUUAUGCUGUCAAGCUAACUUUUUAGUGUUAUUUUGGUGUUCUAUUUCUCUGCAUCUCUUUAAGGAGAAAUUCAUUAUAUCCCCUAUGCUGUAAUUCUUCUCUUCUAAGAUUUUGAUUUAAAAGAAAAAGAAAAAUGAAAAAAAAAAUAGUGAAACGAAGAAAAUUAGGAUGCAAGAGAACUAAUAACUUCAAUUACUAAGAAAAUGAAAACCAAGUAGAAUUGAACCUCGUUGAAUUAAUAUUGAUAAAUUGAUAACUCCUAUUAAAUAAUAGUUUUCUUCAGUUUGACUUAGAGUCAAUAUGGUAAAUUAAUAAUUUGAUAAAUUUUAUUAGAUAAUAUAUUUUUUAAAAAAAUAUUUUUCUAUAAGACCCAAUUAAUAUAGGUAUUAAUAAUUAAUUAAUUUAAAAUUAAAUACAUAUGAUAUGUCUAUGAUUUUUUUGUUGUAUUGGCAUAAUGCUUUAUGUAUUUUAUUGAUCAAUAUUACUUUUUUUACACUUUUCAAUUGAGAAGUUAGUGUUGUAUCAUAUGUGUUGUGGUAAGAUAAAUAAGAGAGAGAGAGAGAGAGAGAUUUAAUCUAUUGCCUCAAAAAAAUCUCAGUUGAUGAGUUACCAUGUAAUUGUGAUCCAACUAUACGAUCUGACCAAAGAAUUAUCAAAUGAUUGAUUCACUCAAUCAAGAUCGAAUUAAAAUCCUAUCAUACAACAUGAUAAAAUCACUAAAUUUUCUAAUUAUACUAGCUCAGAAUCACUAAAUUCUUUAAUUAUACUACCACUAUAUUUCAUAAAAAAAAAUCCGAUUAUCAACGUGAUAUUAUUUCUAUAAAGAUAAAUUAAUAUUUAUUCAUUUAAUGGAUAUAAAAAAAUACCGACCAUUUUGUUCUUGGAGCAAUGGCGUUUCCUGUGUAUAAUAGGAGCUUUAGUUUUUUAUUUAAAAGAAAUAAUGAAGAAAAAACAUGUCGUUAUCAGUACCACCAACUCAAUUUGCAAUUAAAAAAGGAGAAGAAAUUAAUCGACAGAAACUCACUUCCUGCUCUUGGUUCAUUUCAUGUUUGCAAGCUUAUGCUUCUACCAGGUGAAUCCAACAUGGAAUUGGAAAAAAUAAUGAAGUUAGAAAUGACAAUAACAUAAAAAGCUUUGGAUUCCCUCCGCCAAACUAUUACUUGAAAAGAAAAUGAGGGAAAAGCCUAGGAUCUCCGGCGAGAAUCUUAACUCUCAAGAUGAGACCAGAUAAUAAUGUAAUACUAGAGAGAUAACGUGAAAGGGUAACUUUCCGUAGCCAUAGAAGCAAAUUAUGUAAACCAAAAUUAUCCCAGCAAGCCAAUAUGAAUUCUUUCCACCUCAACCUGUUCAAAAACAGAGCAAGAUAAAGCUUAAAUGUCAAAAGAAGUGAAUCUUUUCAAUAAUGUGAAAGUAAAUAAAACAAUAGGGUAAACAAUUAUGAUUUUUCCUAAUGCUUGCGUAAACAAUCAUGACCGAGGAAAACUUUCCAGAAAUAAGAACAGUGAAGACAUGAUUCACAGGCAUUAAACCCAAUAAAAUCCCUCACCAAUAUUUACCUCAUUAAAUUUUAAUGCCACCUACAAAUGGGAUGAUAGAACAAGUUGUCAUUCACAUAUUGCUUAUUCAUCAAUCUCUUCACCUUUGGUUAAAGUCGGGAGGUAACAUUCAAUUUGUGCAGGAACCAACAAACAAAAGAUGCAUUUUUUCGUAGUAUGAAGACAAUUGAACCAACGAGCGUGAAGCACCCCCCCCCCCCCCCCCCCCCCCCCCAAAAACAAAAAAAGAAAAAGGAAAAAAAGAAAAUUGAUGACCCACCUCAUAUGAUUUUAGUAUGCUUGGUAGUAUCAUUUUUUAUAAAUUUCUGAGACUUUGUUUUCGGGUUAUGGUUAUAAGUUUUCGGGUCCCACGUCACAUGAUUUUCGGCCAAGCAGAAUUUAGUUUCCCUCCCUUUUGUCAGUCAAUCUGUUUCAGAAAUUUUGAUGGUGAUCAAAUCAAAAUUUCUGCUUCUAUUCAUGUAUCAGUGCAAUAAGUGAGCUACUGAUAAUCGUGGCUCUGAUUUGGACUUCAGUACCUUUGACAUUAUAUGCGAGGGAGGAAGGUUAUGUUCUUUUGGGGUAUUACUGCUCCAUUAACACUUUGCCCAUGUUUGAGUAUCAUAUUGGCAUAUUUACGUUGAUUAAUUAAUUAACAUAAAUAUAUCAUCUAAGCUGCUAUGCACAACGCUAUGGUUGGAUCUAAUUAGGAUUCAAUAAUAUCGUAUUUUUCAAUAUUAACUUGGGGAUAUCCUUUCGAUCUAGACUUACUUCAGCUUUGAGCUUUGAAGUACAUUUUAAUACUUGCACAUUAUUAUACAUGCGAUUAAUAGCUAUUUAUUUGUUACGUUUACUUUAAUUAUUAACAAUCAAGAAAUUUCUUCCCACAAAAUAAUCUGUGAAAUGAACAAUCGCUACAUGAGCUUAGAAUUUUCUAAGCGAUAAAACGCAGUACCUCCUCCCAGUAAUUUUAUUUUUCUUUUAUUUAAAACGACUUCGUGCUGUCCAAGUUACCAAAAAUAAAAAUAAAAAUUCAACAACUUUUUGGAGAACUUUUCGGAAUGGAAAAUAUCUUUAUUUAACAAAGAUGGUAUGUAUGUUCAACCUUUUCUCACGUUCUCUAGAGGACAAUAUUCUUAAAAUUUUCAGCUUAUUGUUAUUUCUAAUCAAUCGGUGUUAAUUAAAAAUUACUUAAAUGUAUAGCCAUUGCAAGAUACACUUCACUACCACCGGCUCAUUACAUUGUCAAAAUAAAAUCAUUUUCAUUACUUGCGGAAAAAGCAGAAGAGGAAUAUGAAUCAGGAGAAUUUGAAGUUGGAGGAUACAAGUGGUACAUAUAUAUAUAUAUAUAUUCUUAUCCUUAAUAACACAAGUUCAUUUACUUUGGAUUGGGAAGUCUCAGCAGUUUUUCGUCUGUUCUUACUUGAUCAGAACCAAGAAAACUACUGUGUAGUUCAAGGUUAAAUCAAAUUUAGUGUGCAGAAUUGUAUAUUGCAACAUUAGGAAAAAAAUUUGAAUGCAUGCAUAAUGAGUGGUUGCUUGUAAUGUGAUAGAUAUCAUGGGAAAGGAAAGACGGUUUAAUGGACUGAAGCAUGUAUGGGGUUUUGAUAAAUUUAUCCCGCUUAGAGCUUUCAAUGAUGCUUCGAAUGGAUACCUUGUCGAAGAUACGUGUGUUUUUGAAGCUGAAGUCCUUGUUAAAGAAAGAAACAAAUUCAAAAGAGAGUGCCGAUCUAUAAAAGAAAUUUCAAUUAGUUGUAAGUGUGUUUGGAAGAUCGAGAACUUAGACGCAGGAUAUGAGGAAUCACAAGUUUUCGAUGCUGGAAAUCACAAAUGGUAUCAAAGAUUUUAAUUUUUUUUUAAUUUCUACAGGUAUAAUAAAUAAUGAGUUCUUGGGACAAAGUUGUCAGUGAGUGUAUGUUGGAGACUUAACACAUAUAACACUAAAAAAACACACUAUUUUAUUUCUUCAAUAACACUCCUCACCAACUACAACUCUUAUUUUUCACUCUCUACAACUUAGAGAUUUUGUUACUUCACUUGAUACUUAAACCAAAGGGGAGAGGGGGUAUUUAUACAUAAAACAAACUAAUCACAACCAUUCAUUUAUUCAACUAAUAAACAAAUCUUCACCAUCCAGUAAAACCUAUCACUCACCUACUUCACUAACCACACCUACCACACCUAACACAAAUAAUUUAAACCUCACCAACUUUCCAUGAGUUGGGCUUGAAUUAAUUCAUCUUGGAUCAAGUUUAUGAUCCAACAGUGUACAAUUAAUAAAAUACCGUUUCGGUGUUUUUAGGAAGACACAGCUACACCCAUGGGAACUGGGCCCAAUGCUGGCGAUUGUCUUUCCUUGUUCUUGGUUUUUGGAGAUUCCACAGUUCGGAGUACUGUUAAAGUAUACGCAGAGUUUACAUUUCGAAUCUUAGAUCAAGUUCGGGCAAUGCAUGAAUCUUCUUAAGGCACAUUGCUUGUUUUAAUACGCAACUAAUUUAGUUGCCACUAGCAGCUUGACCGAGUGAUUUUCAAGCAGGUUUCUUUAACUUUUGAUUUUGAAAGUACCUUUAACCCAAAAUAAUAAUAAUAAGCUUAAUUUGAGGCUAUAGAAUUCAAAUAAUGUGUAUAAUGAGAAUGAUUCUUUUUCUCUAGGAGGUAGAGAAAGGUUCCAUGCACUAGGCGAUAAUAAGUGGGGUUGGUCGAGAUUCGUUUCAUUGAGUAAGUUAAAUGACCCAGAGAAUGGGUACCUUGUGAACGACGUUUGCGUUGUGGAAGCUGAGAUCACUGUGCUCAGAAUCUCCGAGGCAUUGUAAUAAUAAGUAUUCUUCUUUGUUUCUCACAAAAUAAAGAAAUUCAUUGAUUUUUUGCUUACUUAUGCGAUCACGUUUGUUCAUUGACAUAAUUCUUAAUCCUGGAAGGAAAUCUCUGACAAUCUUAAUCCUGAAAAAAAAUCACAUCUAUCAAAUAUUACCAAGUGAGAUGGUGACAAAAACUCUUAGUUUUUAAUUAAAGAGAAGUAUUGAUAAGAUAAAUUUAGUACAAUAGGGCAAGAAAUUAAUAUUGCAUAAAAGGAAUAUCAUUUAUGGACAUUUAAGAAUGCGAAAGAGGUAGUUUCUAAACUAAAAAAAAGGAUCAGUAGCUAAAGUACUACUUAGUUACGUUUCACAAAAAUAUGUUACUGCAAAAUAAGAUAAUUAAUUUGGUGAAUAUCAAUGGUUAUGACAGUCCACAACAGUGAAUUAGAUAUUAGAUUUUUAUUUGUGCUUGAUAAAAAAAGAGACAAGUUCUUGAUUCUUCAAGGUUAAUUAUUAUACUCAACAAUGUUUAUUUUGUUCUUAUUUAAUUAUUUAACUAAGAGCUAAUCAAUGAUUUGGGGUCACCUUCAUGUAAUAGAUGCCAUGGGAAAUGAAUUAGGUUUUGAUCAAUUCAGAGUUUAACGAUGCUUCGAAUGGAUAUCUUAAAGGACACACGCGUGUUUUUAUAGCUGAAGUCUUUGCUAAGAAAGGAAUAAAGGCAAAGGAGAGUGCCUUUCAUGAUGAGAUUCACAACUGCUUCCAUUUAUAAGCAUGCAUGGAAGAUCGAGAACUCUUCAAAGUGCAGUCAAAGCGUUACGAAUCAGAAAUAUUCAUUGCUGGAGAUCAAAAUCUAGAUUUGAUGCUCAAGUCCAGACAUUCAGAGUUCAUAAAAUCUCGGUUCGAACUAUAAUCAAAGUUGUACAACUCUAAUAUAUAAUAGCCUAAAUCUAGACAUCUGUACCUGAACAGGACUAAUACUUAAGGUUGAUUUAUACAUGUGCCUUAUAUUUCUAAUGGUAAUGCGGAAGAAAUUAGAAUAGUACAACUUGUUAAAAAGGUGCAUCAUGUUAAAACCACUUCUUCAAAUGUAUAAUGUAAAUGAUUUGCUAAAAUUUGUUUGUUUCUCUGUUAAUAUAUAUAAACUAAAUGCCACAUUUGAAAGUUAAUGUUUUAAUAAUUUGUUAAGUGGAACCUCUUAGUAAUUAUGUACAACUAAAUGCCGAGACUUAAACUUUACCCUUGUUGAUUUUUUCAGGAAGAUAUACCUCUAUCCCAAGGGACAGAGACAAGGACAUGGCAGUCAUAUUUCUAUGUACCUGGUAUUUGGCUGACUUCUCAACUAUAACUCGUGGUUUUUAAAAAUACCUUUGUUUCACAUUGCAAAUCCAAGAUCAAGUGUAGUCAAAGCAUAAUCAUAAAACUUUACCCUUGUUAUUAUUAACCCAAACUUUAACAGGUAUUGAAGUUCAUCAAUAAGCGUAGUAGCUAAAUACAGAUAACUUCAGGUUUCUAUUGUUGUUCCUGCAGCCAGUACAUGGUUUAGGAACUCAAUCGAAGAUUGGGGCUGGCACUAAUUUGUUGAACUCAGUUACUUGAACAAGGCAAGCAAUGGUUUUCUUGUGAACGAUGUGUGCAAUGCUGAAGCAGAGGUGUCUGUGCUUAGAAUUUCCAAAGCCCUGUAAUAUGCUCUAAUAAGCAUUGCUACUCUUGCAAGAAAAUUGGGAUGCCAAUUUUUUAAUUUUAUUUCUUAUAAUAAGAGUUAAUCUCAUCGUACCCAAAUAUUUUGACAAAGAAAUUCAAUUGUUGCCGCUCGAUAAUUGGUUGUUAAGUCUCCAAACGGAGACUACAUGAGGAUGCCUUCUUAUGGGUUUAGCCUGCGAUAUCUUAUUCAUUGUUGCUUUUUUUUUUCUCUCUAUAUUCUGCCAGUCGCAAUAGGUAAGGUACUAUAGACUUUUUUUAUCUUACGAAUGUGAAAUAAAAUGAAUUUAAAUCAAUAAGUAUUUACAGAACACUUAAGUGCUGCUCAACCAUAGUACUAAAUCGGGCUUAAAUUUUGGAAGCUAAUUAUAUUAGUUGAUAAUAGAAAAUAGACAACUAAAAUAUUGCUUCAGCUCGUCGAAAUACACGGUUUUUGAGUGGAGGGUACAUAUUUUUGUUCAUUUGUACUGUAGUUGUUUUCUUGCCUCUUACCAUCCAUUCUUGCAACCAAGCAAAGAAAUCAAUAUUCCUUGAUCAAACCAAACAAAUUAAAGAAUCAAUAUCCCUUUUCCCCCAUUGCAUUCCCCUUUCCAUUCCAUUCUUGCAACCAUCAUUUUCCAAAACUUGGUGAAUACCAAUAGUCAUUCUAACUCUUUCUAGAAAUUUAAUGUUGAAUUAUAUAAACCCUCAACCUUGAUGCUUUAUAUGUACCACGGUCCCUUUUAGAUAUCUUAAAGAAGCAAUAUUACUCUUGAGAGAAUACCCUAGCCCUUGAAGAACCUUAUUAUAAUCAAUCUUUCUUCAGUACUAGUUUUAGUACUUGAAGAUUUAUAAUAGUUUGGAGGAAUUUGCUGCAAUGGAAAAUGACUUUGUAGACCAAGUUGGUAUGUUCUCUGACUCUUUCCCCACCUCCCCUUCUCUAUCUAUGUUUAUAUAUGUGCAUUGAAAAUUUCUAGCAUGUUAUUUUCUGAUCAAUGUUAAAAUUACUCUUGACAGCAAUUUCGAGAUCCAUUUCACAUGUACCACCGGCACAUUUCUUACUCAAAAUAGAGGCAUUUUCAUCUCUUGUGGAGAAUGACGUGGAAAAUUAUAAAUCCUUGGAAUUUGAUGCUGGAGGCUACAAGUUGUGUGGCCCAAAACCUAAUUGUACACUAUAUUCAGAUCACCUUAUUACUAAAUUACAUAUCAUAAUCUAAUAUGUUAUUUUGAAUUCAUGAUGGUUUCAGGAAACUUGUUGUCUACCCAAAUGGAAAUAAAAAUGAAAAUGUGAAAGACCACAUCUCAGUCUACUUGGCUAUGGUAGACACAAGUUCACUUGGCCAUGGUUGGGAAGUCUAUGUGAUUUUCCGCCUAUUUGUGCUUGAUCAGAAGAAAGACGAGUUCUUGAUUCUUCAAGGUUAGUUAUUACACUCAAUAAUGUUUAUGAUUGUUUUGUGCUUAAUUAUUUAAGUGAGACCUAACCAAUGAUUUGGGCCGGUCACCUCCAUGUGAUAGAUGCAAUGGGUAAACAAAGACGUUUUCAUGGAUUAAAGCUUGAAUGGGGUUUUGAUCAAUUCAUCCCGCUUGAAGAAUUUAUUAAUGCUUCGAAUGGAUAUCUUGUGGGAGAUACGUGUGUUUUUGGAGCAGAAGUAUUUGUUAAAGAAACGAAAGAAUGCACAGGAGAGUGCCUUUCCAUGACGAAAUUGACAUCUGCUUCCAAUUAUAAGCUUGUUUGGAAGAUCGAGAACUUUUCAAAGUUAGAGGACAUGUUUUAUGAAUCAGAAGUAUUCGUUGCUGGAGAUCAAAAGUGGUAUGUAUACUUUUUGAAAUGGUGUUCAAAUCCGGACAUUCGGAGUUCAUAAAAAUCGAAUUUAAAAUAUGAUCAAAGUUCUACAUUUAAUAGCAAUUUAAAACUCUAAUAUAUCAUAGACUAAAUCUAGACCCGAGCAUGGCUAACACUUUAGGGUUUAUUUGUACGUCUGCAAUAGAUUUCUGAUGCAAAAGAAAUUCUUUUGAGUUUUGAAUAAUACAACUUGUUAAAAAGAUGCAUCAUGUUAAAACCACUUCUUCAAAUGUAUAAUGUAAAAUGAAUUGUUAAAAUUUGUUUGUUUCUCUAUUCACAUGUAUAAUCUAAAUGCCACAUCUAGAAGUUAAUGUAUUGAUAAUAUGUACAAUUGAAUGCAGAGACUUAUACUUUACCCUUAGUAGAUUUUUUUUUAGGAAGAUACUACUCCUUCCCAAAGGACUGGGAGAAGCUAAAGGCAGUCAUAUUUCUAUGUACUUGGAAUUGACUGACUCGUCAACUAUAACUGGUGGUUCUAAAAUAUACGUGCAUUUUACACUGCGAAUCCGGAAUCAAUUGCUGUCAAAGCAUUAUGAAAAAAAAGGUAAAUUAUUAUGAACCCAGACUUUAACAGGUAAUUCAGUUCAAUAAGUUUUGUAGCUAAAUGCAAAUAACUUAAGGUUUCUAUUCUCGUGUUUGCAGCUGGAGAAUGGUUAAAUACCUCAGACAAAUUUGGGGGUUGGACAAAAUUUGUUGAACUCAAUUACCUGAACAAGGCAGGAAGUGGUUUUCUUGUGAAUGAUGUGUGCAUUGUGGAAGCAGAGAUGCCUGUGCUUGGAAUUUCCAAAGCCCUGUAAUAUAUAUUCUAAUGAGCAUUGCGACUCUUGCAAGAAAAUUGGGAUGCCAAUUUUUAAUUUUAUAUCUUCUAAUAAGAGUUGAUCUCAUUGGACCCACCUCUUUUGGCAAAGAAAUUCAGUUGUUGACGCUCGAUAAUUGGUGGUUAAUUGGUUCUUAAGUCUCCACAUGGAGAUUCCAUGCAGCUGCUGUUUUAUGGGUUUAGCAUGUGAUAUCUAAUCCACUGUUGCUUUUGUCCUCUUUGUAUUUCGCUUUAUAGUCGCAACUAGUAAACCCGGUGGUAGACCCACACGUGGGUUAUACCGAACUGUGGUCUGGUCUAGUCCAGAAAAAAUCAUUUAUACCCCUUACAUUUUUAAUUAAUUUAGUAAAAUUAAAUCAUCCUAAAAUGUUGGCAUAUGCAUCUAAAUACUUUUCCAAGGAUGUUUUAAUAAAGUGUCAUUCAGGUAAAAUGUCUAAAUUGGAUGCAAUUGCAAUUGGCAACGAAUUUGCCAAAUUUAAGAAGAAAGAGAUGGGGUCCUCUAAAGCAGGAUUUGGGAGAUCUAAGGUAGGGGUUAGAGUAGAAGACCUAAUUUAGUGUCAGCCCAUUUUAAAAUAAAAUCUUGGGUGUGUUUUACACAAUCUUGCACUUCAUUAUCAUCUAUGAAAGUAUGCCUUUAUAUAAAUAAGAGAAAAAAAACCUUAACUUUCAAAUCACAUAAAAAAAAAUAAAAAAUACUUAAGUACUGCUCAACCACAAUACUUAAUUGAACCUAAAUUUUGCAAGUUAAUUAUAUAAUAUUUGGUAGUAGAAAACAAAACAACUAAGAUAUUGCUUCAACUCGAUGAAAUAUACAUUUUCUAGUGGAGGAUAUUUUUAUUCAUUUGCAUUAUAGUUGUUUUCUUUCCCCUUGCCAUUCCAUUUUUGUAACCAAACGAAAGAAUCAAUAUUCCUUGACCAAACCAAACAAAUUAAAGAAAUCAAUAUUCCUUUUCCCAUUCUAUUCCCCUUUUCUUUACCCUUAGCUUUCCAUUCCAUUCUUGCAACCAUCAGUUUCCAAAAUUUGAUAAAUAUCAACAGUCAUUUUGACUCUUUCUAAAAAUUUACUCUUAAAUUGUAUAAACCCUUAACUUUGAUAUGCUUCUAUAUACCAUGGUCCCUUUUAGAUAUUUUAAAGAAAAAAUAUUACUCUCGAGAGAACUCUAACCCUAGAAAAAUCUUAUUAUAAUCAACUUUCUUCGGUACUAGUUUAGGUACUUGAAGAAUUAUAGUAAUUUGGAGGAAAUUGUUGCAAUGGAAAAACAAGUUGGUAUGUUCUUUGAAAUGGUGCUUCGGUCCAAACGUCCCUACCAAGUUUGGAUUUAAGCUAUGAUCAGACAGACGUCCAAACUUGAGGAUAAUUAUAUCUAAUUAGGGUCCAAAAAUACACAGGUGUGAUAUAAUUGAUGCAAAAGAAAUUCUAUCAUAUGAAAAUGAUUUGUUUGUUAAUAUCUUUACUCAUAUCAUCUAAUUAAUUAAAUGCCUCAUCUAAAAAUGAGCCCUUAGGCCAUGUUUGCUUGGGGGUAGAGGAGUGGGGAGAGGAAAAGAAUUUGAUUUCUUUUUCACUUUCCACUAUUUGGUUGGACCAAAUUCAAUAAAAUUGAAUUUCCAUUAGAUUGAAGAAUUUGUAUUCCUUAUCAAUGGGUAAGGAUUUCGAAUUUCUCAUCUAUUGGAAUACAAAAAUUCCAUUAUUAUUCUCUAAUAAAAAUAAUUUAAAAUAAGUUAAAAUGAAAAUAAUUUAUAUUUAUUUUCUUAAAUUAAGAGGAUAAUUUAUUUUAAAAAAGAAAAAGCACUAAGGUGAAUCGCCAGACCGUCACUGAAGACUCGCUGGAGAUGCAUUUCACUAUCAAAACCAGUACCAAUGGAAUCCUUGUGAGCCGAUCUACAACUCUAUGGAGUUAGAAAUGCUAAUAUACAUUAUUACUUACCUCAAAUCUUGUUUAAAUAUUUGGGAAUAUUUUAACUCCCAUAUUUCCAACUAUAUAGUGUAUUUUCUGCAAAAUUAACACUUCCAAUGAGUAAAUCGUCCAUUUUUUUUUUAUCAUUAUUAUGUAUUUAACACGAUAAAAGAUGGCGAUUAGCAUCGAUAACGCCGGUCAACGGCGGUGUAAUUUUUAUUUUAAAAAAUAAAAUUCUCUAUUUAACUAGGUAAUUUCAACCUGGAAGAGAUGUAGAGGGCUUUUUUCUAUUAUUAAUAUUUUUUAAUUUUAAAAAUGCCAUAAAAAAUACUAUGAAAUACAUUCAUCCAAUAUAACAACACAACUUAAGUACCUAAAUACCUAUUUUUUCCCCCCUAUCUCUCUCUCAAUUUUUUGAUAUUUUUUCUUUUUUUUAAAAAAAAAGUUACAGACUUUUUUAAUUUAAUUCCUUGCUCGUUAUAAUACGUAGAUAAAUUGUUUAAUUAUAGUUAGAUAGUCAUGGAAUAAUUAACAAAUUGUUGAAUCAUAAUCUGUAUAUUUUCGAUAAUAUUCGAGCAAUUAAAAGAAUUAAUUAAAUAAAACCAAACGUAGAUCGAGAAGGAAUAUGAGUAUCAUAAUUACGUAACCAUUGAGGUCGAGACUGGUUGUCACCUUGAGAAAAGGUCGCGCAACCAUAUGUAAUGGGUGUAGGCAGAGGCCGAGAGGCGUGCAUUUGGCAGUUCCAAUAUAAGGGCAUUUUAGACUUUUCAUCACAUGUUUUGUAUUCGGUGCAAAAUUUAAAUUCCUCAGAAUUUCCUCUUUAUGUACGUAUAGAAGCUCACAGAAUAAACAGUCGAACACUCAAGACCGAAACGUGAUGGGUGACGAAGAUCGAACUUUCUGGCGGCUUGAAUCAAAGAAUCCAUAGAUUUUACUUGGGAGAAAAGAAACGUCAAAAUAUAAGAAAAAAUAUACAAAAUAAAUAAACAUAAAACUAGAAAAAAGAAGUGCAUAAAUACACUCACAGAGAGAGACUCAGAGAGAGUGAGAGAGAGAGAGAGAGAGAGAGUUCUAGCAAGGGAGAGAAUGGUGCUGUGGGAGAUCACAUUGGGAACAGCGUAUUUCUUGGGACUGAAGCGGACUUACAGGCUUGCUUUGAGGAUUCAGCGUCGCGUUAUCAGCCCUAAGCACCCUCGGAUUCGUCAAUUUGUUCACCGGUGUAUUUGUGUCGUUUUAUUAUUAUUAUUAUUAUUUAAUUAUUUUGUUUUGAGUUUGAUUCUGAUUAAUUUGUAGCUUGAUGGGUCAGCUAUCAAUAUGGUUAUUAGCGGAUGAGUCACAGAUUGGGAAUGGGCAUUUUCAAGUGUAUUUAUUGAUUAAGCUAGGUACUAGGUAGUUCAAGUUUUAAUUUUCAUUAAUGGGUUCUGUAGCUAUGCUCGUUAAGACAAUAAGAGCUGGUGAUUUUAGAGUCAAAAGAGGAUUAUGAUGAUAAUGAUGAUGGUGUUGGUGGUGUUGAUAAUGAUACGUAUGACACUGAUAUGGGUAUACUAACAAUACAUUGCGAUAAACGACUAACUAAACCUAGGUUAAAAGUAAAAUUUAACCCUCUCUCUAGAUGAGUAGCGAAAUCCUAAGCAAAGAACCUCCACCGCCGCUGGUGGAUGAUCGUUCAACAAAAAAGGCAAGGUUUAGGGAGCAAGGUGUUGAUGCUGAUAAUCCACCGCCCUUAUCCUUUAAAGAUAAACUGAUGGAAGACCAAAAUGAGCUUGAAGAGGAGAUCUUGGGUAGAGAAGAAGACCUGGAAUUUGAGCCUGAAGACGUGAUUGUAGAAGACAAGAAUAGUAUCCCAUCCAUCUCUUUCUCAGGAAAGAUACAAGCUCAGCUCGUUAAGCCAUGGAUGAACACGAUUGUUGUCAAGUUGCUAGGGAGGUCUAUGGGAUAUAGGGCUCUCUGCAAUAAGCUGAAUGAUCUAUGGAGAACGUUGCAAGGCUUCACAGUUAUAGACCUGGAGAAUGACUUCUUCCUGGUUAGAUUCAAGUCUGAGAUUGAUGCACAGUAUGCUCUCACACAAGGGCCUUGGACCAUUCUUGGCCAUUAUCUCACCGUACAACAGUGGACACCUCAUUUUGAUAGUUCUAAUGUCAAUAUUGAAAACAUUGUGGCUUGGAUUCGCAUACCGGGUAUGCCUCUACACUAUUACCACAAAAGGAUCCUUCGCAUGAUUGGAAACGUCGUGGGAAAAGUGAUUAAAAUUGACUACAACACCGAGUCAGCAAGGAGGGGAAAGUUUGCUCGCAUUGCAGUGGAAAUUUCAUUAAAGAAGCCUCUCUGCUCACAAUUUUUUCUGGAUGGGAAGUUGCAAAAUAUUGAGUAUGAGAAUCUGCCUAUUAUUUGCUUUAAUUGUGGAAUUUACGGGCAUAAGAAUGAUGAUUGCCCACAGUCAAACACAUUGAAAAAUCCGAUGGAGAGUUGUGAGAAUAAUGUUGCGGAGGAUAAUCCCGGUGGUGGGGAGGAAAAGUCAUCAUCUUCUGAAGUUCCGGUUAAUCCUAGUUUUGGUCCUUGGAUGAUCGUCAGCCGGAAAGGGAGGGGAAGAGUCAGCAAGGAAGGCGGCUACACAAAAAAUUUCAACCGUUUCCGAGACGGCAAAAGUGAAGGGGGCUCUCGUUUCGAAGUUCUCGAGAAGGAGGAAACUGAAGAAAGAGAAAUUGCUCUCCCUCGAAACCAUAAUGUUUCCACAACCGAAAAUGAACAGCCAGUUACCCACUUUAAAUAUAAAACCAAAAGCAAUCCUAAAACCAACUCCACCAUGCAAAAACCAAGUGUCAACAAUGCCAAGCCCCAAUAUUUGAAUAUUGAACACUCUUUAUCCCCACCAGCUCCCAUGCAUGCAAGAGCACUACCACGUACCCUUUCAACUAACCAUGCACCCUCAACCGAUUUACCAGUUCCCACCACAGUCCCUACUAGCUUGGAUCCCGCAAAGCACACAGCCAUUAAAUUUAUUCCCCCAAGAGUUGAACCUUCAUCACUAAAUGCAAUUAUUGAUACAUCUCAAUCCAAUUUGAGGCUUGCUGUCCCCACCAUCUAUUUCGGAGACCAUGACAAACCCCCUGAUGAUAAUUUGGCUAUGGACGAUAAUGAAGAGAAUAACCCGGAUGAUGGAAACUCAAUGGAUGAUGAUAGUGAGUAUGAUUCAGCUUCUGUUGAUAGCAGGGCCUCUUUGGAGGAGAAAGAUAACAUGGAAUGUUAAUGAUGUCUCGUAUGGCCAAUCCUUUGUCUUUUUUUUCCUUAAUGAUGAAUUUAUCUAUCCUUUUUUGGAACUGUCAAGGGGUAUCUUCAUCGGGUUUUAAAAGAACUUUUAAAACCAUGAGCAAGAUUUACAAACCUGAUAUUGUUGCUAUUUUGGAGCCUAAAGUCAGUGGGGCUAAAGCUGAUUAUUUUAUUAAAGGAAGUGGCUUUGAAUUCUCACAUAGAGUGGAGGCUGAGGGCUUUGCUGGGGGUAUUUGGAUACUAUGGAAUAGAGGUUUCGCAAUGGAGUUUGUCGUUAACCACAAACAGUACAUUCAUUUUAAAGUUACAGACUUUUCUGGUAAUUGGUCAUGGGUCACUGCAGUAUAUGCCAGCCCCAAUCCCAGCCUUCGAAGGAAAUUUUGGAACGAGCUAGAGUCAAUAGCUAAAUCGAUAAAGGGACCUUGGAUGUUGGGUGGCGAUUUCAACUCAAUUCUUCAUGCUUUAGAGAAAAAAGGUGGCUCACCAAAAAGCAGUGGUAUUUGCAGAUCUUUCAAUAACUGGUUUCACGACAAUCGCCUUAUAGAUUUGCAUUUUAAAGGGCCUUGCUUCACUUGGUCUAGAGGAACCCUGUUUAAAAGACUUGAUCGUGCCAUUUGUAAUGAUCAUUGGAAUAGUUUGUUCACAGAAGCUUCGGUCUUACAUCUCCCAAAAAUUCACUCUGAUCACCGUCCAAUUCUUGUCAGCUUCGACUCAAAUUUGAAUAGGAGGAAUGGUGUAAAACCAUUUCGUUUUUUAGCAGCAUGGCUAAUGGACCAUUCUUUUAUUUCUCUCGUUGCUAAAGAAUGGAGGGAUUCUGAGGGGUAUUUUCAAGCUGCUCAUGAUUUUGUGGAUAAAGUCAGCAAGUGGAAUAGAGAUAAUUUUGGGAAUAUUUUUAAAAGAAAAAGGAGAAUUCUUGCAAGAUUGAAUGGCAUUCAGAGAGCCCUGGAGUGCUUUGAUUCAAAAAGGCUUCUUAAACUAGAAUCCAAAUUGAAGACGGAACUUGAAAAUAUUUUAUCCCAAGAGGAAUUAUUAUGGUACCAAAAGUCAAGGCGUGAAUGGAUUGCUUGCGGGGAUAGAAACACAGCCUAUUUCCAUAGUAAAACAAUUGCUAGAAGAAGAAGGAAUCGAGUGGAUGCUAUUCAAAAUAGCGAGGGCAAGUGGAUUUAUGACAAGGAAGAAAUUAAAACUCACGCCAUUGAUUUUUUCUCUAGACUUUUCAACUGUCAAGAUGAAGAGGUCCGAUUUUACUCCAUUGCAAAUGCCUUUCCAAAGAUUGAGGAAGACAGAAUAGCCGAUAUUUGCAGAGCUGUUCAGAGAGAGGAAAUAAAAGCUACUAUUUUCGGAAUGAAACCAUUAAAGGCUCCAGGAAUUGAUGGACUCCAUGCUCUCUUUUAUCAGACACAAUGGAAUGUGGUUGGUGCUUCAGUUUGCGAUCUUGUGAGUAAUAUUUUUAAAGGCAAUCCCCUUCCCCUAGAACUGAACAGGACCCUUAUUGUCCUUAUCCCAAAAACCAAUAACCCCACCAACAUGAAAUUGUUUCGUCCUAUCAGCCUUUGUCCAGUUCUGUACAAAACAGUCACAAAAAUUUUGGCAAACCGGCUAAAGGAGAUUUUACCUGACUUGAUUGGUCCAACUCAAACUAGUUUCGUCCCCGGAAGGCAUAUCACAGAAAAUAUUGUCAUGGCGCAAGAAAUCAUCCACACAAUGAAAAAUAAAAGGGGUAAAGUUGGGCAGAUGGCUAUCAAAGUAGAUCUUGAGAAGGCUUAUGACAGGCUCCGAUGGGAUUUUAUUCAUGAUACUCUUAAAGAUGUUGGGUUGCCUCAGGAGUUUAUUCGAAUUACAAUGGAAUGCAUCACCACAGCUAGAAUGCAAAUCUUAUGGGAAGGGGAGCUCACUGAUGAAUUCACUCCUUCUAGAGGCAUCCGACAGGGAGACCCUCUUUCUCCCUACAUUUUUGUUCUUUGUAUUGAACGUCUUAGUCACGGAAUUAAUCAAGCAGUGUCUGACGGAAGAUGGUGUCCUAUACGUCUUUCACAUAAUGGUGUCCCUCUAACACAUCUCUUUUUUGCAGACGAUUUGCUCCUUAUGGCUGAGGCUUCUUAUAAUCAAGCCCAAGUUAUAAAUAAUGUACUUGACAAUUUCUGCAGCUGCUCAGGGGAGAUGGUUAGUAAACAGAAGACCCGUGUGUUUUUCUACAAGAAUGUUGAAAAGGCUAUGGCAAGGAAAAUAAGUGAGUCUUUAGGUUUCUCUGCUACGGACAAUCUUGGCAAAUAUCUCGGAAUGCCGCUGCUUCAUAACAGAGUUACCAAAGCUACUUAUCAGGAGAUUGUGGACAAUGUUGAUAAAAAGCUGUCAGGGUGGAACUCAAUGCAUCUCUCUUUAGCUGGAAGAAUUACUCUUGCUCAAUCAGUUAUUCAAGCGGUUCCUAUUUUUGCCAUGCAAACGACAAGGAUUCCUCAGGGAGUGUUAGAUAAAAUUGAUCGGAUUUCUCGGAGAUUCAUUUGGGGAGGAAAUAAUGAAGACCGAAAAAUCAAUCUGCUUAAUUGGGAAAUGGUUUGUACACCGAAAUCUGGAGGUGGUCUUGGCUUGAAGAAUCUUUCUGAUAUGAAUAAUGCUCUGCUUAUGAAAAUUGGAUGGAAUAUGUUGGUUUCUCCACACAGUUUGUGGGUUAAGAUUCUGAGAUCUAAAUAUGGGCUUACCUCAGACUCUAUACCUAUAGCUAUUGACAAUAAGUGCAGUUCUUAUCUUUGGAAAAGCAUAAGCAGAAUCUGGGAUUAUGUGUUACGGGGCAUGAGAUGGACGAUUGGAGAUGGAAAUAAAAUUAACUUUUGGCAUCAGCGUUGGGUUUCAGAAGAAAUAAUUAUUGCAGAUUAUAUUACAAAGCCAAUUCCAGCUGAGUUAAUAAAUAAACGAGUGGCUGAUUUUGUAAAUGCUGAGGGGCAGUGGAACUGGAACAUGAUUAGUACUUUUAUCCCCAAUCAAAUUCUUCUCCAAAUUGCAGCGGUCAAGCCCCCGUCUGAUGGCAAAUGCGAAGAUCUCCUAUAUUGGGCUCACUCAAAAACGGGCAAGUUCACAUCUAAAUCAGCUUACCUUUUUCUGAAUAAUUCCAAUUGCAGCAAAGAUGCUCAUUUCUGGAAAUUAAUUUGGCAAUGGAAAGGGCCCCAACGAGUUAAAAUUUUUUUAUGGUUGGUGAUGCAUGGAAAAAUUAAAACUAGAGAGGAGCUUUUUAAGAGGCAUAUUCUGGAUAAAAUGAAUUGUGAAAGAUGUGGCCAUGAGAGAGAAAACGAGAUGCAUGCACUUAGGGACUGUUUUGUUGCAAAGAGAAUAUGGAAUUGUUUAAUUCCAGUCAACUUCAGACAUCAUUUUUUCUCCUUUAAUCUUCGUGAUUGGCUCUGUUUCAACUUGGGAAAGACUGGUAUCAAUGAAGUGGGGGAUGAAUGGGCAUGUUUAUUUGGAGUGGCUAUCUGGAAAAUUUGGUUUUGGCGUAAUCAAUUUCUUUUCUCACAAAAAUCCCCUUACUGCACCCAUGUUGUUGCUGAAAUUAAAUCUUGGGCUCAAGACAUUCAAAAUGCACGAUCAACUCUUAGUUUCGGUCAGAGUAAUAAGAUCAUCAAAGAUGUUAGAUGGCAAGCUCCCCCUGAAUCUUUUUUCAAAUUAAAUACUGAUGGAUCACGAUUAAAGAAUGGUCUAGCCAGCACUGGAGGCUUGGUGAGGGAUUGCUAUGGAAAGUGGCAGUUUGGCUUUGGCAUGAACAUUGGAUUUGGAUCGGUGACUACUGCAGAACUUUGGGGUCUUUUUCAAGGACUUAAUAUUGCUUGGGACCGUGGCAUUCGUUAUUUAAUUGCAGAGGUGGAUAGCCAAUGUGUUUCCCAACUUAUUUCCUCUACUAGUUUGAUGCCUAAUGCACAUUUUUCUCUCAUAACUGCCAUAAAGGAACUGAUGAAUAGACAAUGGCUCAUUACCAUAAAGCAUAUAUAUCGGGAAGCCAAUUUUGCUGCAGAUUCCAUGGCGAAACUUGCUGGUUCCUUACCCCUUGGACUUCAUGUCUUUGAAAAUCCCCCCGCGGGUCUUGGUUAUUGGUUAUGUAAUGAUAUAUAUGGGACCUCUAUUCCCCGUUCUGUUUUAGCCUAGUUUUACUAGGCUCCAAUGUAUCAAAAAAAAAAAAAACAAUACAUUGCGAUGCAAUGUUCUUUGUUUCACGAUUUUAUGAUAUUUUUCGAAAUUGAUCUUGGUAAUUUGAUUUAACUGUAUGGUUGUGUUUGUUAUUCGGAAGUUGGUUAUUGAUGCUUGCUAAAGAUCUAAUGUAAGAAAGCAGAGGAGAGUAAUGGAGUUUUAUUGUGGUAGGAAUUGAUUCCUUGGAGUAAUAAUGUGGCUUACUACCAGCUUGGCUAGACCGAGAACGGCUUAUUAGCAAAGGCAACGGACAGAAGGAGCCAAAAUUUUAGGUUUUCUAAGAAUAGGGAGAGGGUGAAGUAAAUAAAAUUACAAAUUUGUAAAAGAUCCUGAAAACCUGAUUUCAAAAGUUUAUCCAGAUAUAUGUGUUGUUGUCUACUCAUAUCAUAUAUUGCAGUGAAAGUAAGACAGGUUUACCUUAUAGAAACUAGUGUUGUGUGAACUUAACCAUGGAGUAACUAUAUAGGAAGCAACAGACGUGAGCUUUCCUUGUGGCAUCUUCUAUGUACUUAUAUAUUUCCUUAGGGAGUAAUCCUAUGCUGUCAAAAACCAUAAAAGCGUAUGCUCUUUUGGGAGGCAUUGCAUGGAUUUUGGUUUUCUUUUGGGGUCAAUGAUUCAUAGAAUUUCUUCUUGCUCUUCCCUUGUAUUCUCUCUUCUCACUACCUAUUUUACUGUUAUCUCUUCUAUUUCUCUUUCUUUAAAAGCUUUUCAGCUGAAAUUUCUACCUUCUUACGCCUCUUCAAUCGGAUUUUGAUGGAUCUUGUGGAGUUGAUUUUGUCAAAUCUGAAUUCAAUAUGUUGCAGCAAUGCAUCCUACCGCAUGGGAUUAUCUUAGACUAUGUGUCCACAAUAACGACAGCUUGUCUUUGCCUACGUAUUAAUCAUCUCUUUGAAAAGAUACUUUCACGGUGGUUCAUAAAUUGUUAUUCAUUGUCUGAAUUUUCUGUGUGAGUGCCCCAUGCCGUUAGACCAUCUCUUAAAAUGGAAGUUUUCUUGCUAGAUGCAUGAUGAGCAUAAUUUAUAUACAUAUUUUACCCUUAAUAAUAUAAUUGCUAGUUAUAUUUAUUUAUUAUUUUUAAUUAAUUGAAUUGUUUUAUUGAAUAGGGAAUUAAUUGGAGAUUGUUGAUAAAAAGGGCAUGAAAACACUUCAAAUUGAGAAGGAAUAAAGAUUAAAUUGGAAGACAAAAAUGCAACCAAGAAUUAAUGGAAGUCAAGAAGACCAAAAUUGGAAGUCAAUCUCUUCAAAGGAUGAACGGUCGGCAUGCAUUUGGAAAGCAAAGAUUUGGCAAUUUGGAAUGCAUGUGCUGGGCAUUAAAAGAAGAAAUCAUUAAUUGGCCUUUUGCUUUUGUGGUCAAACGUGUGCUUUGCUUUCAAAGUUUAAUAAGGAAAUAAUUUUAAAAGGCCUUGGUGAGUGGGCUUUAUAAGUCGGUGGAGAAGAAUUAAUGCAAUUAGAAUCCAAUAAGGAUUAAGCAAGUCAGUAACAUUAUAUAAAGGCAAGAGGGCCACGGGAGGAAGGAGGGAACUGGAGACGCAAGGAUUCAAGACAGAGAAGAAAAUCAGCAGCAAUAUUUCGGCUUCCCCAUGGCUGAAUUUAUUUAUUUUGUUGCUCCCAAUUCAAGUAUGUCUAGCUAAUUUUCUUAUACUGAGGUUAAGGAUGAAACCCUAUUCAAUGAAAUAAUUAUCUCUUUUUAUUUAAUUAAUUCCCUAUAUAUGUUCUUUGAUAAUUAUGGUUUUUAUUUCACAUGAUUAAUUGGAUGUUAUUAAAAUCUUUUCAUCAAUUCUGUCAUGCAUUAUUGAUUGUUAGGAUUAAUAUUCGAUUAAUUCUAUGCUUGGAUCUAUAAAGUUUAUACAUGAUUAUCUUUGAUUUUAUGUCUUUCAUUAAAUUGUUUACAUAGAGUGCUUAGGAAAACUUUGACUCUUUGUUAUUCAAUAUGUUUACAUGGGAGGCUUAGAUGUCAUAUUAUUAAGCAGAAAAAGAACCUACAUUAGAUUUAAUUACUUGGGCUUAAUUGUUAUAUCUAUGAGAUGACAUAGAUUGAUUUCGAGUUGUCACUCUAAAAUUGGGGAUUAAUUAAUAAUUAGAUAAUUACUAGUUGAAUAGUGGUGGAUUCUGAAACCUUGGUAAUUUCUAUCUUAUUGAAUUCUCUUUUAUUUUAAUUGCUUCCUUAGUUUAAUUGGUUUAAUUUUCUUAAAAACUCAAUUUGCUCAACUAGGUUAGGAGUAAUAUUAAUUUUAGAUUUAAAUUAGACUUUUUAUCAAUCCCUGUGGGAUCGACCUCGUUACCACUACUCUAUUUCUAGAUUCGUGCGCUUGCGAGUAUAUUAAAAUUUUCACAACAAUGCACCUAUUGUAUUCUGCUUGUUUACGUUUGAGUGUGCCCCAUCUUGGCUAUUCCAAUGAACUUAUUGCUUCCAAUCUAAUGAGCUCCAUUGAAGCUUAGUUAUACAGAGGUCAGCAUAUGUGUUUGAAUACGGCUAUAACAAAGUACCAAUCUAUAUUUUAGCUGUGUUAAUUAUAUAGGAAUAUGAAGGGAAAAACUUUAGUUUAGUAUUUCAACUAGUUCAUUGUGCAUCCUGUCACUUCUACUUCAGCUUGGAUGUAAACUGAUGUGAAUGGUUCACAUUGACUUGAUAUCAUGUGCAAUAUGAGAGACCACUGAGCUCUUCCCUCAAAGCAAUUAUUCUUUCCUAUCUGACUUAGAAUGGCCCUGUGCAUUUCAUAAUAAAAUCAGCUUCUAAAUCUGUGAUCUUAUGACAUAUUGUAUAGGCUAGGUUGCUGAAUUUUUUAUUUAACCAAUUAUGGAGCAAAGCCAAUCCUUAAAAGAUUAAGAGAAGUUACUAUCAACUCAGUUGAUCGUUGAAUAUCUGCAACUGCAACCUGCAUUCCCUCGCUCUAGAUUGGUGCAUAAUUUCUAUUGCGAAGUUUUGCAAACCUCCAACUAGUUUUGUCUAUGUGCCAAUUAUGGGAUUUGAAUUAACUUAUCUUUUAGAUUUGCUAUACCAAACUUUUAACGAAAUGUUUUUUGCUGUUUUGGCAUUAUGUUGAACAUUGAUGUCAAAAUAACAUGUUUGCCAGCUUCUUGUAGUACCUGUAGGUGAAGCAGUCAGAGAGUCUCAUAUGUAUUCCUGUGAACUUAUUACCCAAUCAAGCUACAAUGCUCCGAUACCAGAACUAAAUUCAUUAUUAUGAGCACAUUCUUAAAUUGCUGUCUCUCUUUGGGUGAUAUGAAGAUUUUGGAGAAGCAAAGGUACUAACGUCCAAAGCUGGAGGUCAUAGCUGUACUCUUGUUUAGUUCGGAGAGACUGUUUUGAAAUGAUACAUUGAAAGUUCUUCUGUGCUUUUCUUUUUAAUGAGCUGUUGUAUUUUGAUGUUUAUUAGGAGGACGUUAUUAACUUCAUGAAGGUAAGUUACCAGGGCACAUUUCUUUGUUCCAGAAUCCUUCCGAUCUAGUUGUAAUUAUUCAUGAAAGCCUCUGGAUAAAACGGAAAUCCUAAAUUAGUUAAUUGUUUCAAUACUUUGGACUUUGAAUUGAUUUAGUAUGCCUCAUGAAACCAAUAAUUGCACAUCCUCCACUCUUAGAGUCUCAGUGUGAUAUUGACCACGGUACUGCCUGAGCAUUGCAUUCUUCCCACUGGUUGGCUCAUUGGAUUCCAUUCUACUGUUUAACUACUGCUGUUAUGUCAGUUACUAGCUGGCAAAUACUGUUAUUUCUACAAUUGUUUUGAAUAAUAACAAAUUUAUUACUCCUCCAACUUGGAACUGCCAUUGUUUUUUGAAGACUGACCUUCAUUCUUCAUUGAUUUUUUCCACAGCCGAGUACGUGCUGCCUUUGAUGUUGCUCUCAAGUUUCACAGGAACAUACAAGAGAGGGACAUAGAAGUUGGUAGAAAUGUUGGUAACUGGAUUCUACGUUGGCUUGACCGAAUGAAAGCAUCUGCCCAGAUACGUGGUCCGCCUGAGAAACUGUCACAUGGCUCCAGCAUGAGCAUGACCAGCCAUGGAAUGAAGUCCUCGAAUCCAAAAACUCCUGGAGUCCAAACAUCUAAACCAACCUUUUCCACCAUUGCCAUGAUGAUGCGGCAUCCAAGACCUGCAGGAACCACAACCCAGUAUAGGCAUCUUGAGACAAAUGGAUCUGAUCUGUUGAGUUUGAACUACAAUAGAAAUGGGUUUGAUGGAGUGCUGCGAAAGGACAUUAUGCAGUGGUUGCUGCAAAAGUGAAGGUAGAAGCUUAUCAGACACCUGUUCCUUUCUGAAGUUUUAAUCGCCAAUAAUUCAGUUAUAAUAUCUCACUCAAACCGCUCGCAUUAUUGGACUCCUAAAUUUGAAAUUCAUCCAUGCUAGUUAUGGACAUGUUGCUUGAUGCACUAAUUACUGGAGGGCUGCGUGCUGCGAAAGCUGGUAAAGAUAGGUUUUAGUUGUUCUGCUUCUGUACUCAAAGAUAGUAAUUGUUCUCUCCGUUUUCAGUGACUAGGUUUUUUGUUUCCGAACCAGUAACUGCAUAGUUGCUUCUGGUAAUGUUUGUUUGUUUCUUUGUUUGUGAUGCACAUUCCCCCAGAUUGGAAACGGCUGUGGUGAUGGCGAUCAUCUUUCUCUGUACUUGGCUUUGGGAGAUUCCACAGUCGAGGUGAUUAAAGAAUAUAUAUGCAGAGCAUACAUUGCGAAUCAUAGAUCAAGUGGGGGCGAAACAUAAAUCUUUUCGAGGUAAAAUGUGUGUGUUUACAUGCAAUUAGUAUUUGAGGCAAAUCCAAAUAAUAUAACGAGAGUGUUCCUUUUACUCUAGCAGAGAAUAAAUACUGGUUCCAUACACCAAGCGAUAACUGUGGCCGGCCAAGAUUCAUUUCAUUGAGUGAGUUAGAUGAGCCAGAGACUGGAUUUCUAGUGAAUGGCGUUUGCGUGGUGGAAGGCUGGAAGUGGAAGCUGAGGUCACUGUGCUUGUAAUUUCCGAGCCAUUAUAACAAGUAAUUAAUUGUCCUCCAAAUGGGUUCUUUUAUUGUGUGAUGCUGACUGCCUGGCUAAUCUAGGAAAUUUAUUUCUCUUGUGGUUUUCCAAAAUAACUCUUACGUUGUUUAUUGUUUAUGCUGUCCAGCUAACUUUUUAGUGUGAUUUUGGUUUUCUAUUUCUCUGCAUCUCUUUAAGGAGAAAUUCAUUAUAUCCCCUACGCUGUAAUGCUUCUCUUCUAAGAUUUUGAUUUUAAAAAAAAAUAAGAAAAAAGAAAAAAAAAUGUAGUUGAAACGAAGAAAAUUAGGUGCAAGAGAACUAAUAAUUUCACUUAGAAAAUUAAAACAAAGUAGAAUAGAAUCUUGUUGAAUUAAUAUUGGAUAAAUUGAUAACUUUGAUUAAAUAAUAGUUUUUGUCAUUGUAACUUAGAGUCAAUAUGGUAAAUUAAUAAUUCGAUAAAUUUUAUUAGAUAAUAUAUUUUAAAAAAUUAUUUUUCUAUAGGACCCAAUUAAUACAUGUAUUAAUAAUUAAUUAAUUUAAAGCUAAAUAUAUAUGACAUGUCAAUGAUUUUUUUUUUUUUUGUUGUUGCGCUGACAUAAUGCUUUAUGCAUUUUAUCGAUCAUUAUUACUUUUUAUACAAGAGAAGUUAUUGUUCUAUUAUAUGUGUUGUGGUAAGAGAAAUGAGAGAGAGAGAUCGGUUUAAUCUAUUACCUCCAAAAAAUCUCUUUUGAUGAGUCACCAUGUAAUCGUGAUCCAGCCAUGCAAUCUAACCAAAGAAUUAUCAAGUGAUUGAUUCACUCAAUCAAGAUCAAAUCAAAAUCCUAUCAUACAACUUGAUAAAAUCACUAAAUUCUCUAAUUAUGCUACCACUGUAUUUCAUAAAAAAAUUCAAUUAUCAACGUGAUAUUAUAUCUAUAAAGAUGAAUAAUAUUCAUUAAUUUAUGGAUAUAGCCAAAGUGCCAAACUGCCAACCAUUUUGUUAAUAAUCCAGGGAAGCAAGAAAAUAAGGCUUUUUGCGGUUGAUUAAAGUCCCCGCAAACAAACCAUAUUUACUAGUAGUGGCGUGGAUAAUGCUAAUUAAUUACUAAAUUAAUUAUACUAGCAAUACUACCUUAGGAUAUUUUGUUAAAUUCUCUAGUAAUACUACCUUAGGAUCACUAAAUUUUCUAAUUAUACUAGCUCAGAAUCACUAAAUUCUCUAAUUAUGCUAACACUAUAUUUCAUAAAAGUUCCUGUUAUCAAUGUGAUAUUAUUUCUAUAAAGAUAAAUCAAUAUUUAUUAAUUUAUAGAUAUAGCCAAAGUACCAACCAUUUUGCUAAUAAUCCAGGGAAGCAAUUGAUCCACUACAAGCCAUAUUUACUAGUAGUGGCGUUGAUAAUGCUAAUUAAUUACUAGUACUAUUUCUACAAUGAUGCUUCUAUUCAUGUAUCAGUGCAAUAAGUGAGCUACUGAUAAUCGUGGCUCUGUUUUGGACUUCAAUACCUUUGAAGAGCCAUCUAGCGGUCUUGUAGUUGUUUCACAUUAUAUGCGAGGGAGGAAGGUUAUGUUCUUUUGUGGUAUCACUGCUCCAUUAACACUUUGCCCAUGUUUGAGUAUCAUAUUGGCAUUUUUACGUUGAUUAACUAAUUAACAUAAAUAUAUCAUCUAAGCUGCUAUGCACAACGCUGUGGUUAGAUCUAAUUAGGAUUCAAUAAUAUCGUAUUUUUCAAUAUUAACUUGGGGAUAUUCUGUCGAUCUAGACUUACUUCAGCUUUGAGCUUUGAAGUACAUUUUAAUACUUGCACAUUAUUAUACAUGCGAUUAUUAUCUAUAUAUUUGUUAUGUUUACUUUAAUUAUUAACAAUCAAGAAAUUUCUCCACACAAAAAAAUCUGUGAAAUGAACAAUCCCGACAUGAGCUUAGAAUUUUCUAAGCGCUGUAACGAAGAUUAGUACAAACCAAAGAAAAUUUCGAUUGAGUUUGUAUUUUCGAGUUUGGUCAAUUAGAAAGUAGGAUGUAGACAGUCCAAUCAUUAGGCUUUUUAUUAAAUUUAUUUAUUUAUCCCCUAAUUUAGUAAUUAAUGAAGAUUCAUUGUAUAUUUGCUUAAAUUAUGUUUAUUCAUUGUAUUUUCAAGCAUCACAUUUUUGUGUUCUAGAUUCUAUGAUUUUUUACUUUUUUUUUGUAGAGAUCGGUGAAACUUAGUACACGUCCUCUGAGUAAUUUUAUUUUUCUUUUAUUUAAAACGACUUCGUGCUGUCCAAGUUACCAAAAAUAAAAAUAAAAAUUCAACAACUUUUUGGAGAACUUUUCGCAAUGGAAAAUAUCUUUGUUUAACAAAGAUGGUAUGUAUGUUCAACUUUUUCUCACGUUCUCUAGAGGACAAUAUUCUUAAAAUUUUCAGCUUAUUUUUAUUUCUAAUCAAUCGGUGUUAAUUAAAAAUUACUUAAAUGUAUAGCUAUUGCAAGAUACACUUCACUACCACCGGCUCAUUACAUUGUCAAAAUAAAAUCAUUUUCAUUACUUGCGGAAAAAGCAGAAGAGGAAUAUGAAUCAGGAGAGUUUGAAGUUGGAGGAUACAAGUGGUACACAUAUAUAUAUAUUCUUAUCCUUAAUAACACAAGUUCAUUUACUUUGGAUUGGGAAGUCUCUGCAGUUUUUCGUCUGUUCUUACUUGAUCAGAACCAAGAAAACUACUGUGUAGUUCAAGGUUAAAUCAAAUUUAGUGUGCAGAAUUGUAUAUUGCAACAUUAGGAAAAAAAAUUGAAUGCAUGCAUAAUGAGUGGUUGCUUGUAAUAUGAUAGAUAUCAUGGGAAAGGAAAGACUGUUUAAUGGACUGAAGCAUGUAUGGGGUUUCGAUAAAUUCAUCCCGCUUAGAGCUUUCAAUGAUACUUCGAAUGGAUACCUUGUCGAAGAUACGUGUGUUUUUGAAGCUGAAGUCAAGAAACAAAUUCAAAGAAAUUUCAAUUAGUUGUAAGUGUAUUUCGAAAAUCGAGAACUUUUCAAAGUUAGACGCAGGAUAUGAGGAAUCACAAGUUUUCGACGAUGGAAAUCACAAAUGGUAUCAAAGAUUUUAAUUUUUAAAAAAAAUUUCUACAGGUAUAAUAAAUAAUGAGUUCUUGGGACAAAGUUGUCAGUGAGUCUACAAAUAAUAAAAUACCGUUUCGGUGUUUUCAGGAAGACAGAGCUACACCCAUGGGAGCUGGGCCCGAUGCUGGUGAUUAUCUUUCCUUGUUCUUGGUUUUUGGAGAUUCCACAGUUCGGAGUACUGUUAAAGUAUACGCAGAGUUUACAUUUCGAAUCUUGAAUCAAGUUCGGGCAAUGCAUGAAUCUUCUUAAGGCACAUUGCUUGUUUUAAUACGCAACUAAUUUAGUUGCCACUGGCAGCUUGACCGAGUGAUUUUCAAGCAGUUUUCUUUAACUUUUGAUUUUGAAAGUACCUUUAACCCAAAAUAAUAAUAAUAAUAAGCUUAAUUUGAGGCUAUAGAAUUCAAAUAAUAUGUAUAAUGAGAAUGAUUCUUUUUCUCUAGGAGGUAGAGAAAGGUUCCAUUGAGUAAGUUAAAUGACCCAGAGAAUGGGUACCUUGUGAACGACGUUUGCGUUGUGGAAGCUGAGAUCACUGUGCUCAGAAUCUCCGAGGCAUUGUAAUAACAAGUAUUCUUUUUGGUUUCUCACGAAAUAAAGAAAUUCAUUGAUUUUUUGCUUACUUAUGCGAUCACGUUUGUUCAUUGACAUAAUUCUUAAUCCUGGAAGGAAAUCUCUGACAAUCUUAAUCCUGGAAUAAAAUCACAUCUAUCAAAUAUUAACAAGUGAGAUGGUGACAAAAACUCUUAGUUUUUAAUUAAAGAGUAAGUAUUGAUAAGAUAAAUUGAGUACAAUAGAGCAAGAAAUUAAUAUUACAUAAAAGGAAUAUCAUUUAUGGACAUUUAAGAAUUCAAAAGUAGUUUCUAAACUAAAAAAAGGAUCAGUAGCUAAAGUACUACUUUGUUACGUUUCACAAAAAUAUGUUACUGCAAAAUAAGAUAAUUAAUUUGGUGAAUAUGAAUGGUCAUAACAGUCCACAACAGUGAACUAGAUAUUAGAUUUUUAUUUGUGCUUGGUCAGAAAAGAGACGAGUUCUUGAUUCUUCAAGGUCAAUUAUUAUACUCAACAAUGUUUAUGAUUAUUUUGUUCUUAUUUAAUUAUUUAACUAACAGUUAAUCAAGGAUUUGGGGUCACCUUCAUGAAAUAGAUGCCAUGGGAAAUGAAAGAAGCUUGAAUUAGGUUUUGAUCAAUUGGGAAUUUAACGAUGCUUCGAAUGGAUAUCUUGAAGGACAUACGUGUGUUUUUGGAGCUGAAGUCUUUGCUAAGAAAGGAACAAAGGCGAAGGAGAGUGCCUUUAAUGAUGAAAUUCACAACUGCUUCCAUUUAUAAGCAUGUUUGGAAGAUCCAGAACCUCUCAAAGUUGCACUCAAAGCGUUACGAAUCAGAAAUAUUCAUUGCUGGAGACCAAAAUCUGGAUUUGAUGCUCAAGACCAGACGUUCAUAGUUUAUGAAAUCUCGAUUCGAACUAUAAUCAAAGUUGUACAUUUUAUAACGCUGCACAACUCUAAUAUAUAGUAGCCUAAUCUAGACAUCUGUAACUGAACAGGACUAAUACUUAAGGUUCAUUUAGACUUGUGCGAUAUGUUUCUAAUGGUAAUACAAAAGAAAUUAGAAUAGUACAACUUGUUAAAAAGGUGCAUCAUGUCAAAACCACUUCUCCGAAUGUAUAAUGUAAAUGAUUUUCUAAAAUUUGUUUGUUUCUCUAUUCAUAUAUAUAAACUAAAUGCCACAUUUGGAAGUUAAUGUUUUAAUAAUUUGUUCAAUUGAAUGCCGAGACUUAAACUUUACCCUUGUUGAUUUUUUCAGGAAGAUAUACCUCUAUCCCAAGGGAAGAGAGAGAAGGACCUGGCAGUCAUAUUUCUAUGUAUAACACAGGGGUGUUUGAAAUAUUUGGUCUUCAAGUUAUACCAAGUGCAGUUCAAGUUCUUACAUUAAUCAAGUGAGCAGAAUUUCUGUGCAGAAGGGGCAUCUUUGGGAAUUAAACUGUACUGCUUGAGAUUGAAUUAAUUUUCGAGCCAUACAUCAUUGGAAAGAUAUUUCUGUUAGCUUUCCAAUAAAUUUUACUAAUAUAAAUUUGGAGCUUUCUACAAUAAGUUAUGAUCAGUUAAGUGCGGGCUGUUCAGUUUUGAGUCAAGAAGAAUAUUUCUGGAAUGCUCUUUGCUGUGUUUUAAGCAUACCAAUGUUUUAUUAAUGUCUAGCUUUAAUGUUGGUCUUUGAAGUCAAGUCAUUUAAAGGGUUUCUUUGUAGUAUAUCUAUGCUUGGAGGAUUGUUCCAAGAAAGUUAUUUAAGCUUAUGUAGUUGUAACCAAAAGAUAGAGAUUAAUUUUGGGGAUUGGGUGAACUUUGAGUUAUUAUUAAACUAUGUAUCUCUUUGGUGGAUUCCAUUGAGUGGUGAGUAUUUUAAGCCCUGUAUCCUUAGCUUAACAACUUUAGGUGGUGAAUUUUUUUUCUGUAUCCUUUUGUUGUUUGCUGUGGUGAUGAGCUUGUGAUUUCUUGGGUGUGUGACGUUGUGUUUUCUCAUCUAUUGUGUCCGGUGUCAAAUUUGGUAUCAGAGCUUUGGGUUCUGAAAAUUUAUGGCCCAACGAUGUCGACGUAAUGCAAGAGUUGCAGAGCCUCCUGUUCGUGAGAGGGACUUGGGUGAUAGAGAAAGGGAUGAUCUUAGAAGGCAAGUAGAACAACUUCAGCAACGAUUACAACACCUUGAAGGAACUUGAGAAGCUGCUCCUAAUAGUAGUUCGGAAGAAAAAGGCUCAAUCAAUGACGGGGUAGAUUAUAAUCCCUUCCAUCAAGAACAAAGCUCCAAUAGUGAAUUUUCUUCUCGUUCUCGAAUUCAUAGGCAUCGCAAUUCUUUUCAGCCUUUCGACUUCAAGGUCGAAAUUCCUAAAUUUGAAGGAAGAAUGCAACCAGAAGAGUUUGUUGAUUGGCUUAAUAUUGUUGAACACAUUUUCGAAUACAAAGAUGUGCCUGAAGAUCGCAAAGUGAAACUUAUUGCCAUUAAACUUAAAAAGUAUGCUUCUUUAUGGUGGGAAAAUCUUAAGAGACAAAGGAAAUGAGAGGGACGGAGGAAAAUUGUUACUUGGGAGAAAAUGAAAAAAGAGCUUAAGAGAAAGUGUUUGCCCGAUAACUACAUGCAAGUUAUCUACCUUAAGUUCCACAACUUCAAGCAAAAGGAAUUGUCAGUGGAAGAUUAUACAGCAGAGUUCGACAACCUAAUGAUGAAGUGUGAUUUGGUAGAGGCAGAAGAGCAUACAAUCGCACGCUAUCUGGGUGGUUUAAAACCUGAGAUUGGUAAUGUGGUCCAGCUCCAAUCAUAUUGGACUUAUAGGGUGUGUUUGGUACACGUAUUGUAUUAUUCUGUAUUGCAUUAUUUUAAUGCUGGUGUAUUGUAUUAUGUUGUAUUGCAUUAGCACUGUAUUAUAAUAAUAUUGUACAAUGUUUGGUGCUACAAUAUACUGUAUUAAUUUUUAGUUAUACUAUGUUUGGUGUUGCACUGUACUAUAUUAAUUUCUUUUGGUGAUUAAUUUUAAUUAUAUAUUUAGAAAAUAAUAUCUACUAGUACUUAGAAAAAUACUAAAUAUAGAAGUGUUAAAUUUAAGAAUUUUUACAUCAAUUUUUUUGUUUAAAUAAAAGAAUCAUAAUUCUUUAUGUAAAACUAACAAAUUCUAAGAUUUACAAUGAUAUAAGAUUUAUUUUUUCAAUAAUUCGUAAAUAUAUAACCUAUGAAAUAAAGAUUGAAACAAAUAAUCCAAUCAAAUAGCAUUUAAAAACUAUCACAGCAUAAAUAAAAUAAACUAUCACAAGAUUCAUUCAAAGUUAAUACAUACUUCAAAAACAUCACAAAUUAGUAAAGUAACACAAUAGUUGUUUGCGUUCGAUAAUUUAAGUACACACAUCUACAAGCCAAACUCCUAAUGCAAAAUAUCAUUGUUUAGUUAGAAAUCCAUACUCUCUAAUCAAAUUCCACCUCUCCUCUCAUGCUCACGCAAAAGCAUCCUAACAUAAGCCAACUUACGAUCACGAUCAUUUCAUAAUACUUUGAAAGCCCUUAUAUGUGAGGGCUUCUCAGCCAUCAAAUUUAAGGCAAUAAGCUCGUCAUCCACAGAAAGUCCCAUCGAAGCAAGCUCUCUACCAAUGUACUCAUGAUCUUCACUACUUCCAAACAUAUUAUGAGACAUGUCAGCGUUGACUUGGUGAAACGCUGAAACCAAUUUGUCAAUACCACUAGCAAUUUGUUCAUCUAAUUUAGACCUCCUCCUGUUUGAUGAUUGUGAACGUGAUCGAGUAGUGUAUUGAGAAUUUGAAGGCAGUAUAGUUGACAUUGGAGAACCUUCAUCAUCAUGAAUUUCUUCUUGAAGUGCUGCAUUAGCCAUAUCAUUUGGAGUUUCUGUUGAACUUCUAGUUGCACGGUCUUUUCCAAAUAUGUUUGCUAGCCUCUCAUAAUAUGGAAAUGGCUUAUCUCUCCAAUUUCUUGCAUCUUUAUGGGACUACAAUAAUAAAAUAAGAUAAUGAAAUAAACUCUAUUAUAUUCAUAACAAACAAAUUAAGGACAAUGUUUGCAAAUGAUGACAUAAAAAGAAAUAAUUUUCUUUACUAACCUCCACAUAUGAUCUCCAUACUUCGUCACUGUCAACCACUACACAUUUUCUCACUUCAUUCCAGCCAAAACCGCUAGUGUUCAACAUAUCAAAUAUCACUCCAUAACUUUUCUUCCAUAUCCUUAUCUUAGAAUCAAUAUGUGGAUACGCCUUCAAACCGCUCCCUGGUAAUAGUUUUUCUAUUUCAUUUUCAAUAUAUUUGUAACUUCCAGAUUUAAAGGUGUCGUUAUCAGCUCGACCACUAUUUGCAACUACAGCAUCUAAAAUGUUCAACAUUGCCUCUUCUUGGUCUUUUGUCCAUACUCGUCUUGAUCCUGUCUUAUUUCCAAUAGUAUGGCUUGGUCCUCCACUCUCCAUUCCUACAAAAUAAAUAUUAUAACAAUUUUUUGAACAAGUAACUAAAAUAUAACACCAAGUCAAUUCACAUCAAUAAACCUCGAUAAAUUUCUAAUGACAUCAAAUAUAAAUACAAGGUUACAACCUUAGACAUUUUCCUAAUGACAUCUAUAUACUAACAAAAGUACAGCUUCCAAUGCUUUCCUAAUCACAUCUAUAUACUAACAAAAGAUGGUUUCCUAACGAUCUCUGUAUACUAACAAAAGUACAGCCUCAGAUAUUUUCCUAAUUACAUGUAUAUACUAACAAAAGUAAAUGCUCGGAUACUUUCCUAAUGACAUCUAUAUACUAACAAAAUUACAUGCUCAAAUGCUUUCUUAAUGACAUCUAUAAAUUAGAUAAGUCCUAAUUUCCAAGCCAAUUAUUAUACAUAGUAGUAGCUAGAUCAUCCCUCCAACUCGUCCACUGGUCUGAAGCUUCAAUGCUACUUAUACUAUCAUUAUCUUCUGCUUCAUUAUUAGGUAAGUCAACUAAUUCUUGCUCCAUUGGAUCCACAGACAUUUCUCUCCUAAUCAGAUUAUGCAAUAAACAACAUACAGUAAUAAUGCGACAUUGGGUUUUAAUUGGAUAAAAUAAAGGACUUCGAAGAAUAGCCCAUCGCAUUUUGAGCAAUCCAAAACACUGUUCAAUUACGUUUCUUGCUGAUGAAUGUUUCAUAUUAAAGAAUUCUUCUUUAUUGCGAGGAGCACACCCAUCUCUCCAUUCCGAUAAAUGAUAUCUCGUUCCCCUAUAUGGUGCAAGGAAUCCUUCAGCAUUUGUAUAUCCAGCAUCCACAAGAUAAUAAUAACAUAUUUAUUUCACAUAAGCAUUAAUAUAAUUUUGAUUUUGAAUAUGUAAUUUGAUUAAAUUAAUUUUUUGGAUUGAGUAAUACCUGCAGGAACUUUUAAACCAGUUGGUUUAUUUAAUGCAUCGCGAAGUACUCUUGAGUCAGAGGCAGAGCCUUCCCAUCCGGGCAUCACAAAGAUGAAUUUCAUAUCUCGUGAACAUACCCCUAAAACAUUUGUAGCAAUCUCACCCUUUCUUAUUCGAUAUCUUGGUUUAUCAUUUUCUAGCACAAGGACUCUAAUAUAAGUUUCAUCCAAUGCCCUCAAGCAAUUCUACAUGCACAAAACAAACGAAAAUUUAAUUAGCAUUAAAUUAUCAAUCGCUAUAAUAAAAUAUAAGUAAUUGAAAAUGUACCUUAAACCACUUCCACCUUUCAUCAGUGCAAUUCUCUGGUACGAGAUCUGGCACCCUUAGUAAAAUAUCGUGUAGUCGUAAUACUCCGUUGAACACUGAAUUGAAGUAUCUACUAACAGUCUCACCAGAUCUAAAAAACCUACUACCAAUUGUGCGAUUCUUAACACGAUGAGACAAAGUGUGUAGGAAUAUGCAAACUUGCUCUUCAACAGCCAAUGAACCACUAGCCUUUAGUCCCCUCGAUCGAAGUAGCUCACAUAGUAGGCCAAAUGUCCUUCUAUCCAUUCUUAGUUGAUUUACACAUUGAAUGUCACUAUUGCCUAUAAUGGUAUCUAAGUAUUGUAGUCUAGUAGCAUGGAAUUGGAAUGUACGACUACGAAUCAUUUUUCUUUCAUUAUGCCUUCAGAUCAACAUCAUUAACAAAAAAUACAUCAUAGUGAACAUGAACCUCAAUUUCAUUGGCCACAAGAUGAAAGAAAAUUUUCUUCUCAUGUCUAUAUCUAACACAACCAAUAAAAUGAGGGAAAACAAUCAGCUAGUAGACCAUUUGAUAAAUUUCCAUAAAGUUAGAUUAUAUUUCCAUAUAAAGGCUAUGUUUCAACACUUGAGCUAAAUAGAAUCACAAAGAAGAGAAUAGAGGCAGAUGAUGAUCAUAAAUAAUAAUAAUAAUAACAAAAUCAUGCCUAUCACACGAUAUAACAGAGGGUACAAGAAAUAUAUUGAAAUCCAAGGAAUUAUAUAUCAUAAGUCAUUUCUUGUUGAACAAAUAAUAAAUGGUAAGAAAUUGAACUCACUGGAAGCAAGCAGCAGUCGUUGGAAGGAAAUUCCAAUUUACGUAUUUUUUUUGCAACCUAAAUAAAAAUAACCCAUUGAAAUGAAUAAAAAAGAUGUCGAUUUUAAUGAAUAAUUAAAUCUGAAAAAAAAAAUCAUACAAGGUAUGCAACAUUUGCUAACUACAAUAGCUAUAAAUAUGUGUGUGUAUUUAGCAACUAAUAAGUCCUUAUAAAAUUCAUAUGAGUACUUAAACUCAAACUCUUUUACUCAUACACUAAUUUUUUUCCUUUUAAUUUAUGAAUGGACAACAAAACUUGAGAAACUUUUUUAUCCCCACAUAACAUGAAUUUGUCCAGGAAAAGAUUAUCCAUUGCACCAAUAAUACUCUACAGGUGGUCAUAUAUUAUAUAAAAGAAGAUAAUGUUCAACAAUAAUGGUAUUUUGAAUUUUUUGUUUGGUCUUUAAUCAUUUGGUCAUAAAGUUACUGUCUUUUUUAAUUUUAUCUUUUGACCAAAAAGUGUAGCACAAUCAUAAAUAACAAAUUGCAACUUUUCCAGAAACACCAACAGCAGCAUGAUAUUAUCGCUUUCUCUAGUUACAAUAAACAUAUUUAAGGAAGUUAAAGCAAAAGCACAUGCCAGGACAAAUUUACAUGUUAAUAUUAAACAAUGAACAAAAAAUAAGAAAGCAACUGGAAUUACACAAUUCCAAGACACCAGAUAAAAAAAAUUUCCCAAUAACAUAUCACAAAGAGAGUUGUGCAUUGCCAAAAUCAGAGAGUGAAAAUAAAUAAUCAAACCCAAAUAGAAUUCACCAGACAUUAUAUCACAAAUUUAGAGAUGCAGCAACGUUAACGGAGAAAGAACUCACAGAUUUAGAGAGACAGCAACGACGAAGAGAGCAGUAACAACAACACUAGAGAGAGCAACGAUGAAACAGAUAGAGCAGUAACGAGGGAGAGACAGCGGCAGCACAGAGAGAGAUCACCAAUAGCGAGGGACAGAGCAGCAACACUGGAGAGAGCAAUUAGCCCCUUAUUUUCCAUAAAAAUCAAUUGCCAUGAAUGUUUGAUUAUAACGGAAAAACAUGAUUAAAUUGAAAGCAAAUAAAAUAAAACCCUAAUCUAGAAAUUAAACCCAAAUGAAAUAUCAAACCUUAGGUAGUGAAGGACAGGGAGAAUAGUUGUAUUGCACAGUAGAGAUGGUGUUGCAGCGGAGGUGGUGUCAUGCAGUGGGGUGAAGUGGAGGUGGUAUCACGCAAUGGGUGGGUGUCGCACGAUGAGGUUACGUUGGAGUUGGUGUCGCACGACAAAGGCUGUUGAUGUUGUAGUGGAGCGUCGUGGAGUUGGCUCUUGUUAAGCCACUGCACAGGAGAAAUCACAGAUCGAACAAGGAGAGCUAUUUUGGUUUAUUUGAGGACAAGGUGAGAACGAGAAGGAAGUCUAAUUUUUUUGGUCUCAGAAAUAGUUGCAAAACCCGCAUAAACCCGACCCCCCUUGGGGUUUAGUUUAUGCAGGUUUGACUGCAUAAAAUUUUGAGUUGACCACAUUGUAAUACUAUGUGAUGUAAUUGCCAAACAUGGUAUUAUAAUACUCUAAUACAAUGAGUAGCUCUAAUACCAUAACCAAACAUGCCCAUAGUGAUGUAUGCAGACUUGCUCUUAAGGUGGAAAAGUAACAAAAAGAUGCUCGUGGUGGGGGUAUUUGGUUCAUAGUUCGUGAUGUCAAUCGAGGGAGUGGCUCCGUUUCUAAGCAUAAUUCUUGUUUGAAUUCUACUGCAAAGAAAAUUACGAGGAAUGAUAUCGGGGAAUGAUCUAAACAGCGAGCAAGUGGUUCGAAUGCUAGUUCUCGUCAAUGUUUUAAAUGCCAUGGUUAUGGGCACAUUGCUUCUGAGUGUCCUAAUCGUAGGGUGGCUGAUCUUGUUGAAGAGGAAAGCGAUGACGAGGAUGCAGAAGAUCAUGAGAAUCCUAGUGUCGAAAAGGAUGAUGAAGAUAGAUAAGUUACAUAUGCUGAUAAUGGAAUCUCUCUAGUUAUUUAAAAGAGUUUGAGUAUUGUUUGUGAAGAUGGGGAAGAUUGACUGAGAAAGAAUAUCUUUCACACUAAAUGCACUUGUCAUGGAAAGGUAUGUAAUGUCAUUAUUGAUAGUGGCAGUUUUGAGAAUGUGGUAGCAACUGAAAUGGUAAAGAAGUUGAAGCUCAAAACGGAGCAGCAUCCUCAACCUUAUAAACUUUCUUGGCUUAAAAAGGGAAAUGAGAUUGAGGUAAACACACGUUGCCUUAUUUCAUUUUCUAUUGGGAAUAAAUAUAAAGAUGAAAUUUGGUGCGAUGUUAUCCCUAUGGAUGCAUGUCACUUGCUUUUGGGUUAUCCUUAGCAGUACGAUAGAAAGGUUAUUCAUGAUGGUUAUAGGAAUACUUAUACUUUCACUAAAGAUGGAAGUAAAGUCAUUUUAGGUCCUUCAAAGAUAGAGAAAAGUUCUAAACCUAUCAAACGAGUGGAAAACAAUUUGCUGACUAUUUCAGAUUGUAAAAAAGAAUUGGAAAUGGGUAGUGAAGUUUACGUGCUGGUGGUGUUUGAGGAAAAUGAAGAUAACAAUUAGUCACCUUUGAUUAUGAAGUAUUUUCUUGAAGAAUUCUCAGAUGUUGUUCCAAAAGAAUUACCACAUGGCCUUCCUCCCAUGAGGGACAUUCAACAUUGCAUUGAUCUUAUUCCGGGUUCUGUACUCCCAAAUAAAGCGGCUUAUCGAAUGAAUCCAAAGGAGCACGAAGAAUUAUAGAGGCAAGUUGAAGAGCUUAUAAGGAAAUGGUUGGUGAGAGAAAGCAAAAGUCCUUGUGAUGUUCCUGCCUUAUCGGUACCAAAGAAAUAUGGGCCUUGGCGUAUGUGUGUUGAUAGCAGAGCAGUGAAUAAGAUAACGAUUGAUUAUCGUUUCCCUAUUCCACGCCUUGACGAUCUUCUAGACUAGCUCUAUGGUGCUACAAUCUUUUCUAAGAUCGAUCUUCGAAGUGGCUAUCAUCAAAUCAGAAUGAGACCUAGUGACAAAUGAAAAACGACCUUCAAAACGAGGGAUGGACUUUAUGAAUGGAUGGUUAUGUCAUUUGGUCUACUAAUGCCCCAAGCACUUUCAUGCGGCUGAUGAAUCACGUUUUUAACCGUCUAAUUAGUAGAUCUGUUGUUGUGUAUUUUGAUGACAUCCUUGUGUACAGCCAAGAUGAAAAACAACACUUGGAGCAUCUUUGCCAAGUCUUCGAGAUUUUGAAAAAUCAAAAGCUUUAUGUCAAUUUGAAAAAGUGCAGGUUCUUCACUGAUAGCCUUGUCUUUUUGGGUUAUGUUGUAUCGAAAAAUGGAAUUAAAAUGGAUCUAAGUAAGGUGGAGGCCAUUUUGAGCUGGCCAAUUCCUAAGUCGCUACAUGACAUCCGAAGUUUUCAUGAUCUUGCUUCUUUUUAUCGACGAUUUAUCAGAGGGUUCAGUACAAUUAUUGCUCCAGUAACUGAAUGCUUGAAAGGAGAAGGUUUCAAAUGGACCAAAAAGGCACAAGAGAGUUUUGAAAUCAUCAAGAGAAAGGUGUCUAAAACGCAUGUUCUUUCACUUCCAGAUUUCAGCAAGGUGUUUAAAGUUGAGUAUGAUGCCUCUAAUACUGGAAUUGGUGCUGUACUCAGCCAAGAAAGGAAACUAGUUGCUUUCUUUAGUGAAAAAUUGAAUGACUCCCGCAGAAAGUACUCAACUUAUAGCAAAGAAUUGUAUGCUAUUUGCCGAGCUUUGAACCAUUGGAGUCAAUAUUUGCUUUCAAGGCCAUUUAUUCUCUUCUCCGACCAUGAGGCACUAAAGUUUAUCAAUAGUCAGCAGAAGCUUAAUAGAAAACAUGCCGGAUGGGUGGAGUUUCUUCAAGCUUACAAUUUUACCAUCAAGCAUAAAUUGGGUGCUCAAAAUGUUGUGGCUGAUGCUUUAAGUCGAAAACAUUCCUUGCUUUCUUCUAUGCAAGUGAAGGUUGUAGGCUUUGAAAUUUUAAAAGAGCUAUACAAGGAUGAUUCGUUCUUUUGCAGGAUUUGGAGAGAAUGUGAGAAUGGAUCAUAUGAUCAGUACCAAUUGCAUGGUGGCUUUCUUUUCAAGGGGAAUCAUUUAUUUAUUCCUCAGUGUUCUUUACGAGAAUCUAUUAUCAUGGAGGCACAUGAUAGUGCUGUUAGAGAUCUCUUUAGAAGGGAUAAGACGUUAGCUUGCUUGCAAGGUAAUUUCUAUUGGCCAAAGAUGGAUAAAGAUGUAGUGCAUCAUGUGCAGAGGUGUAAAAUCUGUCAUAUUGCCAAAGCUCACAGUCAAAACACAGGCCUAUAUAAUCCUUUACCAAUCCUUAAAGCUCCUUGGGAAGAUGUUAGUCUAGACUUUGUUGUUGGGUUGCCAAGAACUCAAAGAAACAAAGACUCUGUCAUGGUGGUGGUUGAUCGAUUCUCAAAAAUUGCUCAUUUUGUUCCAUGUAACAAGACUUUGGAUGCCUUUCAUGUGGCUGAUUUGUACUUCAAGGAGAUUGUGAAGCUACAUGGAAUUUCGAAAACCAUUGUCUCUGAUCGGGAUUUAAAUUUUUUGAGUCACUUUUGGUGCACUCUUUGGAAGAAGUUGGGAACCACUCUUAAAUUUAGCUCUUCUCAUCAUCCUCAAACUGACGGUCAGACUAAAGUGACGAAUCGAAGCUUGCAAAUCUCUUGAGAAGUUAUGUGGGCAAGAACAUUCGUCAAUGGGAUCUUAUUUUGCCUCAGAUUGAAUUUGCUUACAAUCACUCCAUACAUCUGUUGUUGUGUAUUUUGAUGACAUCCUUGUGUACAGCCAAGAUGAAAAACAACACUUGGAGCAUCUUUGCCAAGUCUUCGAGAUUUUGAAAAAUCAAAAGCUUUAUGUCAAUUUGAAAAAGUGCAGGUUCUUCACUGAUAGCCUUGUCUUUUUGGGUUAUGUUGUAUCGAAAAAUGGAAUUAAAAUGGAUCUAAGUAAGGUGGAGGCCAUUUUGAGCUGGCCAAUUCCUAAGUCGCUACAUGACAUCCGAAGUUUUCAUGAUCUUGCUUCUUUUUAUCGACGAUUUAUCAGAGGGUUCAGUACAAUUAUUGCUCCAGUAACUGAAUGCUUGAAAGGAGAAGGUUUCAAAUGGACCAAAAAGGCACAAGAGAGUUUUGAAAUCAUCAAGAGAAAGGUGUCUAAAACGCAUGUUCUUUCACUUCCAGAUUUCAGCAAGGUGUUUAAAGUUGAGUAUGAUGCCUCUAAUACUGGAAUUGGUGCUGUACUCAGCCAAGAAAGGAAACUAGUUGCUUUCUUUAGUGAAAAAUUGAAUGACUCCCGCAGAAAGUACUCAACUUAUAGCAAAGAAUUGUAUGCUAUUUGCCGAGCUUUGAACCAUUGGAGUCAAUAUUUGCUUUCAAGGCCAUUUAUUCUCUUCUCCGACCAUGAGGCACUAAAGUUUAUCAAUAGUCAGCAGAAGCUUAAUAGAAAACAUGCCGGAUGGGUGGAGUUUCUUCAAGCUUACAAUUUUACCAUCAAGCAUAAAUUGGGUGCUCAAAAUGUUGUGGCUGAUGCUUUAAGUCGAAAACAUUCCUUGCUUUCUUCUAUGCAAGUGAAGGUUGUAGGCUUUGAAAUUUUAAAAGAGCUAUACAAGGAUGAUUCGUUCUUUUGCAGGAUUUGGAGAGAAUGUGAGAAUGGAUCAUAUGAUCAGUACCAAUUGCAUGGUGGCUUUCUUUUCAAGGGGAAUCAUUUAUUUAUUCCUCAGUGUUCUUUACGAGAAUCUAUUAUCAUGGAGGCACAUGACAGUGCUGUUAGAGAUCUCUUUAGAAGGGAUAAGACGUUAGCUUGCUUGCAAGGUAAUUUCUAUUGGCCAAAGAUGGAUAAAGAUGUAGUGCAUCAUGUGCAGAGGUGUAAAAUCUGUCAUAUUGCCAAAGCUCACAGUCAAAACACAGGCCUAUAUAAUCCUUUACCAAUCCUUAAAGCUCCUUGGGAAGAUGUUAGUCUAGACUUUGUUGUUGGGUUGCCAAGAACUCAAAGAAACAAAGACUCUGUCAUGGUGGUGGUUGAUCGAUUCUCAAAAAUUGCUCAUUUUGUUCCAUGUAACAAGACUUUGGAUGCCUUUCAUGUGGCUGAUUUGUACUUCAAGGAGAUUGUGAAGCUACAUGGAAUUUCGAAAACCAUUGUCUCUGAUCGGGAUUUAAAUUUUUUGAGUCACUUUUGGUGCACUCUUUGGAAGAAGUUGGGAACCACUCUUAAAUUUAGCUCUUCUCAUCAUCCUCAAACUGACGGUCAGACUAAAGUGACGAAUCGAAGCUUGCAAAUCUCUUGAGAAGUUAUGUGGGCAAGAACAUUCGUCAAUGGGAUCUUAUUUUGCCUCAGAUUGAAUUUGCUUACAAUCACUCCAUACAUCAAACUACUGGUUCUAGUCCCUUUGAAGUAGUUUACGGCAAGAAUCCAAUCAGUCCUUUGGAUUUGGCUCCACUUUUGACUAAUCAUCAAUUUAGUGGAGAGGCUAAAGAAUGCUCUAAAAGUAUCAAGAAGAUGCAUGAACAAGUUCGAGAUAGAAUAUUGAAGCAAAAUGAGAAGUAUAAAAAAUCUACAGACAAGCAUCGAAAACAUGCUAAGUUUCAGAAAGGAGAUUUGGUUUGGGUUCAUCUUAGUAAAGAUCGUUUUCCACCUGGGAAGUAUGCUAAUCUUAGACCAAGGGCUGCUGGACCAUUUAAAGCAUUGGUGAUAAUGCUUACAAGAUUGAGCUACCAGAUGGCUAUGGUGUUUCGUCAACAUUCAACAUAUCAGACUUGUCUCCUUAUCAUGAAGAAAAUGGUCAAAACUCGAGGUUGAAUUUUUUUCAAGUAGGAGAGAUUAACACAGGGGUGUUUGAAAUAUUUGGUAUUCAAGUUAUACCAAGUGCAGUUCAAGUUCUUAUAUUAAUCAAGUGAGCAGAAUUUCUAUGCAGAAGGGGCACUUUUGGGAAUUAAACUGUACUGCAUGAGAUUGAAUUAAUUUUCGAGCUUUACAUCAUUGGAAAGAUAUUUCUGUUAGCUUUCCAAUGAAUUUUACUAAUCUAAAUUUGGAGCUUUUUACAGUAAGUUAUGAUCAGUUAAGUGCGGACUGUUCAGUUUUGAGUCAAGAAGAAUAUUUCUAGACUUGGACUUUUUUAAUGCUCUUUGUUGUGUUUUAAGCAGCCCAAUGUUUUAUUAAUGUCUAGCUUUAAUGUUGGUCUUUGAAGUCAAGUCAUUUGAAGGGUUUCUUUGUAGUAUAUCUAUGCUUGGAGGAUUGUUCCAAGAAAGUUAUUUAAUCUUAUGUAGUUUUUUUUUUUUUUUUGAAUACUGAUUAAUCAUCAUAUUACUGCAUUACACAGAUAUUUACAACUGCUAUUAUAGCAGAUAUAUUACACUGAUAUUUACAAUCAGAAAUACAUGAUUGGGACUUAUAUUAUUACAUUGAAUUCUGUGAAGUACAUGCCCAGACAAAUAAUCCCUUACAAAAGAGGGAUGUCCAUACUCCACUCGUAUUGCACGAGGGAGAUGAAAUUUUUGAAAUAUUAAACAAAUAAGCACGUAAUCUUAUGUAGUUGUAACCAAAAGAUAGAGAUUAAUUUUGGGGAUUGGAUGAACUUUGAGUUAUUAUUAAACUUUGUAUCUCUUUGGUGGAUUCCAUUGAGCGGUGAGUAUUUUAAGCCCUGUAUCCUUAGCUUAACAACUUUAGAUGUGAAUUUUUUUCUGUAUCCUUUUGUUGUUUGCUGUGGUGGUGAGCUUGUGAUUUCUUGGGUGUGUGACGUUGUGUUUUCUCAUCUAUUGUGUCCGGUGUCAAUGUACCUGACAUUGGCUGACUUGUCAACUAGAACUUGUGGUUUUAAAAAUACCUUCAUUCACACAGCAAAUCCAGGAUCAAGUGCAGUCAAAGCAUAAUUAUAAAACUUUGCUAGUACAUGGUUCAGGAACUCAAUCGAAGAUUGGGGUUGGCACAAAUUUGUUGAACUUAGUUACUUGAACAAGGCAAGCAAUGGUUUUCUUGUGAACGAUAUGUGCAUUGCGAAAGCAGAGGUGUAUGUGCUUAGAAUUUCCAAAGCCCUGUAACAUAUACUCUAAUAAGCAUUGCUACUCUUGCAUGAAAAUUGGGAUGCCAAUUUUUUAAUUUUAUUUCUUAUAAUAAGAGUUAAUCUCAUCGUACCCAUAUAUUUUGACAAAGAAAUUCAGUUGCUGCCGCUCGAUAAUUAGUGAUUAAUUGGUUAUUAAGUCUCCACAUGGAGACUACAUAGGGAUGCCUUCUUAUAGGUUUAGCCUGCGAUAUCUUAUUCACUGUUGCUUUUUUUUCCUCCAUGUAUUCUGCGAGUCGCAAUAGGUAAGGUACUAUAUAUACUUUUUUUUUUAUCUUACAAGUGUGAAAUAAAAUGAACUUAACUUUCAGAUUAGAUCAAUAAGUAUUCACCAAAUACUUAAGUGCUGCUCAACCAUAGUACUAAAUCGGGCCUAAAUUUUGGAAGCUAAUUUUAUAAUAUUUGAUAAUAGAAAAUAGAACAACUAAAAUAUUGCUUUAGCUCGUUGAAAUACACGUUUUUUGAGUGGAGGGUACGUAUUUUUGUUCAUUUGUUUUGUAGUUGUUUUCUUGCCCCUUACCAUCCAUUCUUGCAACCAAGCAAAGAAAUCAAUAUUCCUUGACCAAACCAAACAAAUUAAAGAAUCAAGAUCCCUUUCCCUAAUUGCAUUCCCCUUCCCAUUCCAUUCUUGCAGCCAUCAGUUUCUAAAACGUGGCGAAUAUCAAUAGUUAUUCUGAUUCUUUCUGAAAAUUUAAUGUUGAAUUGUAUAAACCCUCAAACUUGGUGCUUUAUAUAUACCAUGGUCCCCUUAGAUAUUUUAAAGAACAAACAUUAAUCUUGAGAGAAUACCCUAACCCUUGAAAAAUCUUAUUAUAAUCAAUCUUUCUUCAGUACUAGUUUUAGUACCUAAAGAAUUGCAGUAGUUUGGAGGAAUUCGUUGCAAUGGAAAAUGACUUCUUAGAUCAAGUUGGUACGUUCUCUGGCUCCUUCCCCAGCUCCCCUUUUUCUAUGUAUGUUUAUAUAUGUGGAUCGAACAUUUCUUGCCUGUUAUUUUCUGAUCAGUGUUAAAAUUACUCUUGACAGCAAUGUCAAGAUCCAUUUCACACGUACCACCGGCUCAUUUCUUACUCAAAAUACAGGCGUUUUCAUCUCUUGUGGAGAAUGAUUUGGAAAAAUACGAAUCUUCGGAAUUUGAUGCUGGAGGCCACAAGUGGUAUGGCCUAAAACUUACUUGUACACUAUAUUCUGAUUACAUAUCAUAAUCUAAUGUGUUAUUUUGAAUUCAUGGUGGUUUCAGGAUACUUGUUGUUUACCCAAAUGGAAAUAAAAACAAAAAUGUGAAAGAUCACAUAUCACUCUACUUGGCUAUGGUAGAUACAAGUUCACUUGGCCUUGGUUGGGAAGUCUAUGUGCUUUUCCGCCUAUUUGUGCUUGAUCAGAAAAAAGACGAGUUCUUGAUUCUUCAAGGUGGAUUAUUACAGUCAACAAUGUUCAUGAUUGUUUUGUUCUUAAUUAUUUAAGUGAGACCUAAUCAAUGAUUUGGGCGGGGUCCCAUUCAUGUGGUAGAUGCCAUGGGGAAAGAAAGGCGCUUCCAUGGAUUGAAGCUUGAAUGGGGUUUUGAUAAAUCCAUCCCGCUUGAAGAAUUUAACGAUGCUUCGAAUGGAUAUCUUGUGGGAGAUACUUGUGUUUUUGGAGCAGAAGUAUUGGUUAAAGAAAGGAACAAAUGCAAAGGAGAGUGCCUUUCCAUGACGAAAUUGAUAUCUGCUUCAAUUCAUAAGCAUGUUUGGAAGAUUGAGAACUUUUCAAAGUUGGAGGCAAAGCGUUACGAGUCCCAAGUAUUCGUUGCUGGAGAUCAAAAGUGGUAUGAUAUCUAUAUAUAUAUAUAUAUAUAUAUUCUGAAAUGGUGCUCCGCGUCUAAACUUUAUGAGGUUUAGAUUUAGCCUGCGAUCAGACAGACAUCCUAGCCUGAGGAUGACUAAUUCUUUCUGUAUCAUAUAUUUCUUUCUAUAUCAUUUAAUUUCUUUACUCGUAUCACCUAAUUAAAUGCCUCAUCUGAUAAUUAACCCUUGUUGAUUUUUUCAGGAAGAUAGAGCUCCAUCCCAAGGGAAUCAAAAGUGGAACCGGCAGUCAUGUUUCUAUGUUCUUGGCAUUGGCUGAUUCCUCAACUAUAGCUCGUGGUUUUAAAAUAUACGUGCAUUUCACACUGCGAAUCCGGGAUCAAGUGCGGGGAAAGCAUGAAGAUGCAAAAAGUAAUUAAAUUAGUAAUUAUUAUCCCGAACUUAUUUAACAGAUGCAUGAAUUAAUAAGCUUAUAGCACUGUAACUACUAUGAGCUUAUUUAUAGCUAAAUACAUAUAACUUUGAGGCUUUCUAUUGUUGUUGUUUCAUGCAGCAAGUAUAUGGUUCGGGUCCUCAAUUAAAGAUUGGGGUUGGCCAAGAUUUGCUGAACUCAGUUACUUAAAGGAGGCAGGCAAUGGUUUUCUUGUGAAUGAUGUGUGUGUUGUGGAAGCAGAGGUUUCAGUGCUUGGAAUUUCCAAAGCACUGUAGUAAUAUAUAUAACUAAUGAGCAUUGUUACUUGCAAGAAAAUUGGGAUGCCAAUUUUUACUUUUAAUUUAUUAUAAUAAGAAUUAAUCUCAUUGUACCUAUAGAUAGUUUUCGUGAGGGAAAUUCAGCUGCGGACACUCUCACUAUGUUUUGGUUUUCAAGUCUCUACAUGGCGAUUAGAUGGGUUCAGCCUGUGAUCUCUAGUUAAAUGGUGAUAUAGUUGCCGUAUUUUGCUUUAUUUCUCUUCAGUAAAUCUUUUUUUAAAAAAAUAGAAAAAAAAAAUUUAGUUGUUGUUACAAGAUAUUUUUAUCCACCUCUUCAUCAAAAUAAUGUACUUUCACACUAAUAACUUUAGAAAGUGAAUUAUAAAAGCAGCUACAUGAUUUGUGACGUAUGUAUGUACCGCAUCUUGUGAAACAUAUUAAUUAUGAAUUGUACAUCACAAAAUACUUUUAGGAAUAAAAAAUGUGUUGCUAAAUGCACAACUAAUCGAUAUGCUUUAUUGGUUAUAAAUGCCCAUCAAUCAAAUAAAUCAAGAGAUUGAGAAAUGAAAUAGCGAAAACGUGAAAUUUUUCUCUGAUCAACUUACUUGUUAUUAUUUCUAAUCAUUUUAACUUCAUAUUAUUUAUAUUAUUUGUAUGCUUAAUACACUUCCCAAAUUUGAUCUACAAUAAAUUGUGAGCUUAUGAAAUUGCAACGCAUUCCAUUGUGUACUUUAUAAGAGUAUUACUAAACACAUUCAAGCUAUUCUCCCAUUGUACUCCUUAAUCCAGGUAGGUGUAAGAAGAGAUGAAAGAAGUGUAUUUAAAAGAUCUCUUUCACAAAACAGUGCCCAAUUUAAGGGUGGGCAAAAUCGCUUUCGUAUUCGAAUCAACUCGAUCAGAUUUCAGGUUGAUUGAGUUGAGCAAAAACUCAUCCGAAUUCAAUUCGAAUAUAUAAUCCGAUCCGAUCCUAUUAAAAUAUUAUUUAGAUCGGAUCAGUUUAUAAGUUCGGGUGUCAACUAAUAUAAGCAGCUGUAGUGCUAUAAGAAUCAUGAUCGCACGGAUGCCCACUACCUUUGAUCAAGAUUCAAGAACAAGAAAUGGAGUUAUCACCACCGCCAGAACCAAAAGGGUCAAAAAUUCAUAAUGUGCAAGUGGGGCAAAAAUAUUUCACGAGAUUCAUCAUUGCAAGAAUAUUCAGCAGAAUGAUCAAGAAUUUUUAUAUAUAUUUUCGUCAGUACUUAACUACAUGGGUAUAUAUAUAUAUAGACAUACAAUGAAAAUUGAAAAUUUUGGGCUGGAGCUUGGAGGACCUUGGUGAUGGUGGCUAUCGGUCGAGGUGGAGGGAGCAACCUGCAGCAACUGUCAAGGUGGAGCAAUCGGCACUACAACAGCAGCAGUCGAGCUGUAGCAGAUCGCAUCGGCGCGUCGUGGGCUCGCGAUGGACUGAAGCCGCGACAGAUCGAGUCGCUGCUGUGCUGGCUAUGCUGCCGUGCCAUCUCCGAUCUGUCGUGUGCAGUGUGCUGCUGCUAUUGUAGUGUUGUGUGUGUGAAGAUGAAGAGAUGCCGGCUACCGUUGGUGUAAUGUUGUGUGUUUGAAGAUGAAGACGAUGCAUAUGCAAUUAGUCAAAUUAGGUUUUGCCCUUUUUUAUUUACUUAUUUAACUUUUUUUUUUUUUAUUAACCAAUCCGAUCGGAUUUUUGGAUCGGAUCGGAUUUAACCCAAUCUGAUCACGAUCUGAUCGGAUUGAGUGAAUUCCAUCCGAUCGGAUUGAACAUCAAAUCCGAUCUGAUCCAAACUCCAUUUUUUUUUAAUUGGAUUGAGGCAGAUCAAGUUGGAUCCGAUCAGUUGCCCACCCCUAGUAUCUACUGUGGCCAUUAUUGAUGAACAAAAAAUGCAACCGUUGAGAUGAGGCCAAGAGAAAACUGAAAGAGAUGUACGGUUUUUUUCUAUAAUUAUUAUUAUUUUAAUUUUAAAUAUGCCGUAAAAAAAAUACUAUAAAAUACAUUCAUUCAAUAUAACAACACAACUUAAAUACCUAAAUACCUAUUUUUUUCCCUUUGUCUCUCUCUCAGUUUUUUUGUUAGUUUUUCUUUUUUUUUAAAAAAAUUACACACUUUUCUUAAUUUAAUUUUGUUCGUCAUAAUAUAUAGAUGAAUUACUUAAUUAUAGUUAGAUAAUCAUGGAAUAAUUAACAAAUUAUUUAAUCAUAAUCUGUAUAUAUUCGAUAAUAUUCGAGCAAUUAAAAGAAUUAAUUAAAUAAAAUCAAAUGUUGAUCGAGAGUGAAUAUGAGUCUCAUAAUUAUGUAACCAUUGAGGUCGAGACUAAUUGUCACCUUGAAAAAAGGUCGCGCAACCAUCUAUAAUUAUGGGUGUAGGCAGAGGCGGGCCUAUAGCCGUUCAAAUAUAAGGGCAUUUUAGACUUUUCUGGACAUAUUUGUCACGUUUAUGAAAUUUUAAUUAUGUUGAUGGCAUAUGCUGUGCGAAACUAAAUUCCUCAAAAUUUCGGUUUUAUAUACAUAUAGAAGCCCGCAGACUAAAUGGUUGAACACUCAAGGCCGAAGCGUGAUGGGUAACCAGGGUCGAAAUUUCUGGUGGCUUGAAUCAAAGAAUCCAUAGAUUUUACUUGGGAGAAAAGAAACAUCAAAAUAUUAAAAAAUAUACAAAAUAAAUAAACAUAAAAUAAAAAAAAAAGUGCAUAAAUACACUCACAGAGAGAGACUCAGAGGGAGAGAAUGGUGCUGUGGGAGAUCACAUUGGGAACAGCGUAUUUCUUGGGACUGAAGCGGACUUACAGGCUUGCUUUGAGGAUUCAGCGUCGCGUUAUCAGCCCCAAGCACCCUCGGAUUCGUCAAUUUGUUCACCGGUAUAUUUGUGUUGUUUUAUUAUUAUUAUUAUUAUUUAAUUAUUUUGUUUUGAGUCUGAUUCUGAUUAAUUUGUAGCUUGAUGGGUCAGGCAUCAAUAGGGUUAUUAGCGGAUGAGUCACAGAUUGGGAAUGGGCAUUUUGAAGUGUAUUUAUUGAUUAAGCUAGGUAGUUCAAGUUUUAAUUUUCAUUAAUGGGUUCUGUAGCUAUGCUCGUUAAGACAAUAAGAGCUGGUGAUUUUAGAGUCAAAAGAGGAUUAUGAUGAUAAUGAUGAUGGUGGUGGUGGUGGUGGUGUUGGUGGUGUUGAUGAUGAUACAUAUGAUACUGAUAUGGGUAUACUAACAACACGUUGCAAUGCAAUGUUCUUUGUUUCACGAUUUUAUGAUAUCUUUCGAAAUUGAUCUUGGUAAUUUGAUUUAACUGUAUGGUAGUGUGUGUGGUUUGGAAGUUGGUUAUUGAUGCUUGCUAAAGAUCUAAUGUAAGAAAGCAGAGGAGAGUAAUGGAGUUUUAUUGUGGUAGGAAUUGAUUCCUUGGAGUAAUAAUGUGGCUUACUACCAGCUUGGCUAGACAGAGAACGGCUUAUUAGCAAAGGCAACGGACAGAAGGAGCCAAAAUUUUAGGUUUUCUAAGAAUAGGGAGAGGGUGAAGUAAAUAAAAUUACAAAUUUGUAAAAGAUCCUGAAAACCUGAUUUCAAAAGUUUAUCCAGAUAUAUGUGUUGUUGUCUACUCAUAUCAUAUAUUGCAGUGAAAGUAAGCCAGGUUUACCUUAUAGAAACUAGUGUUGUGUGAACUUAACCAUGGAGUAACUAUAUAGGAAGCAACAGACAUGAGCUUUCCUUGUGGCAUCUUCUAUGUACUUAUAUAUUUCCUUAGGGAGUAAUCCUAUGCUGUCAAAAACCAUAAAAGCGUAUGCUCUUUUGGGAGGCAUUGCAUGGAUUUUGGUUUUCUUUUGGGGUCAAUGAUUCAUAGAAUUUCUUCUUGGUCUUCCCUUGUAUUCUCUCUUCUCACUACCUAUUUUACUGUUAUCUCUUCUAUUUCUCUUUCUUUAAAAGCUUUUCAGCUGAAAUUUCUACCUUCGUAUGCCUCUUCAAUCGGAUUUUGAUGGAUCUUGUGGAGUUGAUUUUGUCAAAUCUGAAUUCAAUAUGUUGCAGCAAUGCAUCCUACCGCAUGGGAUUAUCUUAGACUAUGUGUCCACAAUAACGACGGCUUGUCUUUGCCUACGUAUUAAUCAUCUCUUUGAAAAGUUACUUUCACGGUGGUUUAUAAAUUGUUAUUCAUUGUCUGAAUUUUCUGUGUGAGUGCCCCAUGCCGUUAGACCAUCUCUUAAAAUGGAAGUUUUCUUGCUAGAUGCAUCUAUUGUAUUCUGCUUGUUUACGUUUGAGUGUGCCCCAUCUUGGCUAUUCCAAUGAACUUAUUGCUUCCAAUCUAAUGAGCUCCAUUGAAGCUUAGUUAUACAGAGGUCAGCAUAAGUGUUUGAAUACGGCUAUAACAAAGUACCAAUCUAUAUUUUAGCUGUGUUAAUUAUAUAGGAAUAUGAAGGGAAAAACUUUAGUUUAGUACUUCAACUAGUUCAUUGUGCAUCCUGUCACUUCUACUUCAGCUUGGAUGUAAACUGAUGUGAAUGGUUCACAUUGACUUGAUAUCAUGUGCAAUAUGAGAGACCACUGAGCUCUUCCCUCAAAGCAAUUAUUCUUUCCUAUCUGACUUAGAAUGGCCCUGUGCAUUUCAUAAUAAAAUCAGCUUCUAAAUCUGUGAUCUUAUGACAUAUUGUAUAGGCUACGUUGCUGAAUUUUUUAUUUAACCAAUUAUGGAGCAAAGCCAAUCCUUAAAAGAUUAAGAGAAGUUACCAUCAACUCAGUUGAUCGUUGAAUAUCUGCAACUGCAACCUGCAUUCUCUCGCUCUAGAUUGGUGCAUAAUUUCUAUUGCGAAGUUUUGCAAACCUCCAACUAGUUUUGUCUAUGUGCCAAUUAUGGGAUUUGAAUUAACUUAUCUUUUAGAUUUGCUAUACCAAACUUUUAACGAAAUGUUUUUUGCUGUUUUGGCAUUAUGUUGAACAUUGAUGUCAAAAUAACAUGUUUGCCAGCUUCUUGUAGUACCUGUAGGUGAAGCAGUCAGAGAGUCUCAUAUGUAUUCCUGUGAACUUAUUGCCCAAUCAAGCUACAAUGCUCCGAUACCAGAACUAAAUUCAUUAUUAUGAGCACAUUCUUAAAUUGCUGUCUCUCUUUGGGUGAUAUGAAGAUUUUGGAGAAGCACAAGUACUAACGUCCAAAGCUGGAGGUCAUAGCUGUACUCUUGUUUAGUUCAGAGAGACUGUUUUGAAAUGAUACAUUGCUUUUCUUUUUAAUGAGCUGUUGUAUUUUGAUGUUUAUUAGGAGGACGUUAUUAACUUCAUGAAGGUAAGUUACCAGGGCACAUUUCUUUGUUCCAGAAUCCUUCCGAUCUAGUUGUAAUUAUUCAUGAAAGCCUCUGGAUAAAACGGAAAUCCUAAAUUAGUUAAUUGUUUCAAUACUUUGGACUUUGAAUUGAUUUAGUAUGCCUCAUGAAACCAAUAAUUGCACAUCCUCCACUCUUAGAGUCUCAGUGUGAUAUUGACCACGGUACUGCCUGAGCAUUGCAUUCUUCCCACUGGUUGGCUCAUUGGAUUCCAUUCUACUGUUUAACUACUGCUGUUAUGUCAGUUACUAGCUGGCAAAUACUGUUAUUUCUACAAUUGUUUUGAAUAAUAACAAAUUUAUUACUCCUCCAACUUGGAACUGCCAUUGUUUUUUGAAGACUGACCUUCAUUCUUCAUUGAUUUUUUCCACAGCCGAGUAUGUGCUGCCUUUGAUGUUGCUCUCAAGUUUCACAGGAACAUACAAGAGAGGGACAUAGAAGUUGGUAGAAAUGUUGGUAACUGGAUUCUACGUUGGCUUGACCAAAUGAAAGCAUCUGCCCAGAUACGUGGUCCGCCUGAGAAACUGUCACAUGGCUCCAGCAUGAGCAUGACCAACCAUGGAAUGAAGUCCUCGAAUCCAAAAACUCCUGGAGUCCAAACAUCUAAACCAACCUUUUCUACCAUUGCCAUGAUGAUGCGGCAUCCAAGGCCUGCAGGAACCACAACCCAGUAUAGGCAUCUUGAGACAAAUGGAUCUGAUCUGUUGAGUUUGAACUACAAUAGAAAUGGGUUUGAUGGAGUGCUGCGAAAGGACAUUAUGCAGUGGUUGCUGCAAAAGUGAAGGUAGAAGCUUAUCAGACACCUGUUCCUUUCUGGAGUUUUAAUCACCAAUAAUUCAGUUAUAAUAUCUCACUCAAACCGCUCGCAUUAUUGGACUCCUAAAUUUGAAAUUCAUCCAUGCUAGUUAUGGACAUGUUGCUUGAUGCACUAAUUACUGGAGGGCUGCGUGCUGCGAAAGCUGGCAAAGAUAGGUUUUAGUUGUUCUGCUUCUGUACUCAAAGAUAGUAAUUGUUCUCUCCGUUUUCAGUGACUAGGUUUUUUGUUUCCGAACCAGUAACUGCAUAGUUGCUUCUGGUAAUGUUUGUUUGUUUCUUUGUUUGUGAUGCACAUUCCCCCAGAUUGGAAACGGCUGUGGUGAUGGCGAUCAUCUUUCUCUGUACUUGGCUUUGGGAGAUUCCACAGUCGAGGUGAUUAAAGAAUAUAUAUGCAGAGCAUACAUUGCGAAUCAUAGAUCAAGUGGGGGCGAAACAUAAAUCUUUUCGAGGUAAAAUGUGUGUGUUUACAUGCAAUUAGUAUUUGAGGCAAAUCCAAAUAAUAUAACGAGAGUGUUCCUUUUACUCUAGCAGAGAAUAAAGACUGGUUCCAUACACCAAGCGAUAACUGUGGCCGGCCAAGAUUCAUUUCAUUGAGUGAGUUAGAUGAGCCAGAGACUGGAUUUCUAGUGAAUGGCGUUUGCGUGGUGGAAGGCUGGAAGUGGAAGCUGAGGUCACUGUGCUUGUAAUUUCCGAGCCAUUAUAACAAGUAAUUAAUUGUCCUCCAAAUGGGUUCUUUUAUUGUGUGAUGCUGACUGCCUGGUUAAUCUAGGAAAUUUAUUUUAGCUAUCAGGAAAUUUAUCUCUCUUGUGGUUUUCCAAAAUAACUCUUACGUUGUUUAUUGUUUAUGCUGUCCAGCUAACUUUUUAGUGUGAUUUUGGUUUUCUAUUUCUCUGCAUCUCUUUAAGGAGAAAUUCACUAUAUUCCCUACGCUGUAAUGCUUCUCUUCGAAGAUUUUGAUUUAAAAAAAUAAGAAAAAAGAAAAAAAAUGUAGUUGAAACGAAGAAAAUUAGGAUGCAAGAGAACUAAUAAUUUCACUUAGUAAGAAAAUGAAAACAAAGUAGAAUAGAAUCUUGUUGAAUUAAUAUUCGAUAAAUUGAUAACUCUAAUUAAAUAAUAGUUUUUGUCAUUGUAACUUAUAGUCCAUAUGGUAAAUUAAUAAUUCGAUAAAUUUUAUUAGAUAAUAUAUUUAAAAAUAUUAUUUUUCUAUAGUAGCCAAUUAAUACAUGUAUUAAUAAUUAAUUAAUUUAAAGCUAAAUAUAUAUUAUAUGUCUAUGAUUUUUUUUUUUUUUGGGUUGUACUGACAUAAUGCUUCAUGCAUUUUAUCGAUCAUUAUUACUUUUUUUACAAGAGAAGUUAUUGUUGUAUUAUAUGUGUUGUGGUAAGAGAAAUAAGAGAGAGAGAGAGAGAUCCAAAAAAUCUCUUUUGAUGAGUCACCAUGUAAUCGUGAUCUAGUCAUGCAAUCUAACCAAAGAAUUAUCAAGUGAUUGAUUCAGUCAAUCAAGAUCAAAUCAAAAUCCUAUCAUACAACGUGAUAAAAUCACUAAAUUCUCUAAUUAUGCUAUCACUAUAUUUCAUAAAAAAAAUUCAAUUAUCAACGUGAUAUUAUAUCUAUAAAGAUAAAUAAUAUUCAUUAAUUUAUGGAUAUAGCCAAAGUGUCAAACUGCCAACCAUUUUGUUAAUAAUCCAGGGAAGCAAGAAAAUAAGGCUUUUUGCGGUUGAUUAAAGUCCUCGCAAACAAACCAUAUUUACUAGUAGUGGCAUGGAUAAUACUAAUUAAUUACUAAAUUAAUUAUACUAGCAAUAAUUAUACUAGCAAUACUACCUUAGGAUAUUUUGUAAAUUCUCUAGUAAUACUACCUUAGGAUCACUAAAUUUUCUUUACUCAAAAAAAUCACUAAAUUUUCUAAUUAUACUAGCUCAGAAUCACUAAAUUCUCUAAUCAUGCUACCACUAUAUUUCAUAAAAGUUCAUAUUAUCAAUGUGAUAUUAUUUCUAUAAAGAUAAAUUAAUAUUUAUUAAUUUAUGGAUAUAGCCAAAGUGCCAACCAUUUUGCUAAUAAUCCAGGGAAGCAAUUGAUCCACUACAAACCAUAUUUACUAGUAGUGGCGUUGAUAAUGCUAACUAAUUACUAGUACUAUUUCUACAAUGAGCUAUUUUGAAUUGCAGAACUCUAAUUUCUCAAGUUACGUCAGUCAAAUUUCCUCUCGAAACCAUCAAAUCUCACAAAAAACCUCUGUUCUUGGACUGAGGCAAUGGCGUUUCCUGUGUGUAGUUGGAGCUUUAGUGUUUUUAUUUGAAAGAAAUAGUGAAGAAAAAACAUGUCCUUAUCAGUACCACCAACUCAAUUUGCAAAUUAAAAAAAAGUGAGAGAGAGAUUAAUCGACAGAAACUCACUUCCGGCUCUUGGUUCAUUCCAUCUUUGCUAGCUUAUGCUUCUACCAGGUGAAUCCAACAUGGAAUUGGAAAAAACUAAUAAAGUUAGAAAUGACAAUAGCAUAAAAAACUCGGGAUUCCCUCCGCCAAAAUAUUACUUGAAAAGAGAAUAAGGGAAAUGCCUAGGAUCUCCAGCGAGAAUCUCAACUCUCAAGAUGAGACCAGAUAAUAAUGUAAUGCUAGAGAGAUAAUGUCAGAAGGGUAACUUUCCUUAGCCAUAGAAGCAAAUUAUGCAAACCAAAAUUAUCCAGCAAGCCAAUAUGAAUUCUUUUCAUCUCAACCUGCUCAAAAACAGAGCAAGAUAAAGCUUAAAUAAUAAUGUGAAAGCUCAAAAACAGAUCAAGAUGAAUCUUUUCAAUAAUGUGAAAGUAAAUAAAGCAAUAAGGUGAAGAGUUAUGGAUUUUCCUAAUGCUUGCGUAAACAAUCACGACCGAGGAAAACUUUCCUGAAAUAAGAACAGAAAUUUUAAUGCCACCUACAAAUGGGAUGAUAGAACAAGUUGUCAUUCACAUAUUGCUUAUUCAUCAAUCUUUUCACCUUUGGUUAAAGUCGGGAGGUAACACUCAAUUUAUGGAGGAACCAACAAACAAAAGAUGCAUUUUUUGGUAGUAUGAAGACAAUUGAACCAACGAGCGUGAAGGCCCAAAAAAUAUAUAUAUAUAAUAAAAAAAAAAUGAAGUAGAGAAUUGGUGACCCAGGUCAUAUGACUUUAGUAUGCUCGGUAGUAUCAUUUUUUAUAAAUUUCUGAGACUUUGUUUUGGGGUUGUGGUUAUAAGCUUUCGGGUCCCACGUCACAUGAUUUUCAGCCAAGCAAAAUUUAGUCUCCCUUUUGUCAGUCAAUUUGUUUCAGAAACUUUGAUGGUGAUCAAAUCAAAAUUGAUGCUUCUAUUCAUGUAUCAGCUAGUGAUAAUCGUGGCUCUGUUUUGGACUUCAGUAACUUUGAAGAGCUAGCUAGCGGUCUUGUAGUUGUUUGACAUUAUAUGCGAGGGAGGAAGGUUAUGUUCUUUUGUGGUAUCACUGCUCCAUUAACACUUUGCCCAUGUUUGAGUAUCAUAUUGGCAUUUUUACGUUGAUUAACUAAUUAACAUAAAUAAAUAUCAUCUAAGCUGCUAUGCACAACGCUAUGGUUGGAUCUAAUUAGGAUUCAAUAAUAUCGUAUUUUUCAAUAUUAACUUGGGGAUAUUCUUUCGAUCUAGACUUACUUCGGCUUUGAGCUUUGAAGUACAUUUUAAUACUUGCACAUUAUUAUACAUGCGAUUAAUAUCUAUAUAUUUGUUAUGUUUACUUUAAUUAUUAACAGUCAAGAAAUUUCUUCCCGCAAAAUAGUCUGUGAAAUGAACAAUCGCUACAUAAUCAGUGGUUGCUAAAACAAACUACUGUGUAGUUCAAGGUUAAAUCAAAUUUAGUGUGCAGAAUUGCAUAUUGCAACAUUAGGAAAAAAAUUGAAUGCAUGCAUAAUCAGUGGUUGCUUGUAAUGUGAUAGAUACCAUGGGAAAGGAAAGACGGUUUAAUGGACUGAAGCAUGUAUGGGGUUUUGAUAAAUUCAUGCCGCUUGGAGCUUUCAAUGAUGAUUCGAAUGGAUACCUUGUCGAUGAUACGUGUGUUUUUGAAGCUGAAGUCCUUGUUAAAGAAAGAAACAAGUUCAAAGGAGAGUGCCUAUCUAUGAAAGAAAUUUCAAUUAGUUAAAGUAUACGUAGAGUUUACAUUUCGAAUCUUGGAUCAAGUUCGGGCAAUGCAUAAAUCUUCUUAAGGCACAUUGCUUGUUUUAUUACGCAACUAAUUUAGUUGCCACUGGCAACUUGACUGAGUGAUUUUCAAACAGUUUUCUUUAACUUUUGAUUCUGAAAGUAUCUUUAACCCAAAAAAAUAAUAAUAAUAAGCUUAAUUUGAGGCUAUAGAAUUCAAAUAAUAUGUAUAAUGAGAAUGAUUCUUUUUCUCUAGGAGGUAGAGAAAGGUUCCAUUGAGUAAGUUAAAUGACCUAGAGAAUGGGUACCUUGUGAACGACGUUUGCGUUGUGGAAGCUGAGAUCACUGUGCUCAGAAUCUCCGAGGCAUUGUAAUAACAAGUAUUCUUCUUGGUUUCUCACGAAAUAAAGAAAUUCAUUGAUUUUAUGGCUAACUUAUGCGAUCACGUUUGUUCAUUGACAUAAUUCUUAAUCCUGGAAGGAAAUCUCUAACAAUCUUAAUCCUGGAAUAAAAUCACAUCUAUCAAAUAUUAACAAGUGAGAUGGUGACAAAAACUCUUUGUUUUUACUUAAAGAGAAGUAUUGAUAAGAUAAAUUGAGUACAAUAGAGGAAGAAAUUAAUAUUACAUAAAAGGAAUAUCAUUAUGGACAUUUAAGAAUUCAAAAGAAGUAGAUAUUAGAUUUUUAAAAAUAUGUUACUGCAAAAUAAGAUAAUUAAUUUGGUGAAUAUCAAUGGUCAUAACUAUCCACAACAGUGAAUUAGAUAUUAGAUUUUUAUUUGUGCUUGAUCAGAAAAGAGACGAGUUCUUGAUUCUUCAAGGUUAAUUAUUAUACUCAACAAUGUUUAUGAUUAUUUUGUUCUUAUUUAAUUAUUUAACUAAGAGCUAAUCGAUGAUUUGGGGUCACCUUCAUGUAAUAGAUGCCAUGGGAAAUGAAAGAAGCUUGAAUUAGGUUUUGAUCAAUUCAGAAUUUAAAGACGCUUCGAAUGGAUAUCUUGAAGGACAUACGUGUGUUUUUGGAGCUAAAGUCUUUGCUAAGAAAGGAACAAAGGCAAAGGAGAGUGCCUUUCAUGAUGAAAUUCACAUCUGCUUCCAUUUAUAAGUAUGUUUGGAAGAUGCAGAACCUUUCAAAGUUGCACACAAAGCGUUACGAAUCAAAAUCUGGAUUUGAUGCUCAAGUCCAGACGUUCAGAGUUCAUGAAAUCUCCAUUCGAACUAUAAUAUAUAAUAGCCUAAAUCUAGACAUCUGUACCUGAACACGACUAAUACUUAAGGUUCAUUUAUACAUGUGCGUUAUAUUUCUAUAUGGUAAUGUAGAAGAAAUUUGAAUAGUACAACUUGUUAAAAAGGUGCAUCAUGUUAAAACCACUUCUUCAAAUGUAUAAUGUAAAUGAUUUGCUAAAAUUUGUUUGUUUCUAUGUUCAUAUAUAUAAACUAGAUGCCACAUUUGAAAGUUAAUGUUUUAAUAAUUUGUUAAGUGGAACCUCUUAGUAAAUAAGUACAGAAUGCCGAGACUUUUUUUUUUUUAAUACUGAUUAAUCAUCAUAUUACUGCAUUACACAGAUAUUUACAACUGCUAUUAUAGCAGAUAUAUUACACUGAUAUUUACAAUCAGAAAUACAUGAUUGGGACUUAUAUUAUUACAUUGAAUUCUGUGAAGUACAUGCCCAGACAAAUAAUCCCUUACAGAAGAGGGAUGUCCAUACUCCACUCGUAUUGCACGAGGGAGAGGAAAUUUUUGAAAUAUUAAACAAAUAAGCACGUUAGCCCCCACAAAUGCUUUUGUGGGGGCUUGAACCGCUGCCCUCACAAUGCUUGUGAGGGCAGCAGCCCACCACUCCGACCAAGGCCG
rnacentral:lncRNA from 1 species